UCCAUCCCUCCCACAUCCCCUGGACACUACCUUUCCCCAAUGACUGGAAUGUGAAGAUUUCUCUGUACUGGAGUUGAACUCUUAUUUAGCUUUGCAAUCUUGAUUUUAGAUUUGCUCGUUCUUUCAAUUACCCUACCAAGAUCCAGAUAAGCUUCCACAAAUAUAUUGUAGAUAGGAAAACACUUUGGCCACUGGCCAGUGAGGAUUACAAUUAUGUGAUGAGAGUAAUUUCGGAUCAUGAUGAGGUAAUCUCACUAGAUACCUGCUCUUGGAAGGUUCGCAAAGAAAUAAAAUUGUUGGCUACUCCUGUUUCCAUUUGUUCUUGACAUUGAAGUCAAACAACCAAGUGAUUAGUGUUCAAUAACUGUUAUAGCUAUAUUGUUGAUGCUGGUUACUCUCAAAAAAUAAAAUCCAUUCCCUACUGGCAAUGAAUAAGAGUAGUUAUUUAAGUGUGUGCUCAAUCGUUAGCUUGCUACUUUGACAAGUUUGUGGGAAGUGCCUCUGUCCGAAGCUCAUGAGGAUUAUAGUAACUGUUUGCACAUGAGCACUUGUUUCCAAUCUAGCUAUGCUAAGCUUUCAGGUUUUUCACAAGCACAUGGGCAAGUUGAAUCAGGAGCCUAAAUCAUCUGGCCACGAUCUGAGACACUUUUUCUCGAGUGAAGAAUCAGAAAGGGAGAAGCCUGAGACAAAUCGUACCUUUUGUUUCUCUUUGUAGCCACUUUCUCCCUGAUAAUGCUAUAAGGAAGAGAGAAUGGUUUUUUCACACCUAGUACUAUUUUCCUUGUAGCUUCAACCUUUAGCAGGUUUUGAUGAGUGGUACGAAAACAGGGCAAAAAACUUCAUUUGUUUUCUCGGUGUGGACAAUGUAUAUCCAGUGAAAUGAAAUUCAGUUCUUUGUAAUAGUAUCUUCAUAUCUGAACCUAUGCUUGGGUGUCACUUUUGGUUGCCUGUGCUAAAGCAUAGUUAAAUAAAGGCACUGCAAUGGUUCACUGCAGGAUCUUCCUGGUUGCCUUUUAAUACCCAAUUGGCAAUUUGAAGCAAUCAUUGUGGCCAUGUUGUUUUUCUUUUAUGAGGAAAACAAAUGAUGUGAUUUAUGUUUACACAGGGUUUUGCUAUAUGCACAGGCAGAUAGGCGACUCGGGCGACCUNNNNNNNNNNNNNNNNNNNNNNNNNNNNNNNNNNNNNNNNNNNNNNNNNNNNNNNNNNNNNNNNNNNNNNNNNNNNNNNNNNNNNNNNNNNNNNNNNNNNAACUUGAAAUUGAUUAAGGUGACAUAAUUGUGAGUCACGAUAAGACUUGAUGUCUUUGAAAAAACUAAAUGGGAGAUCAUUCGCGAUGUGCUCAUGGUAGCAUGUUUCUCUUAAGCGAAUAUUCAAGGUGAAUAUGUAUUCAUUCAUUGUGUACUUAGUUCGAGAACCAAGUGAAGUUGGUGACAUAUAAAAUGCAUAUGUGCAUCAAUAGAAUAGCCAUGUGUUACAUGAAAUGAUCAUGCAUUAUUUAAUUUACUUCUUGGAGUAAAAUAAACUAUAUGGAUGAAAUGAUCUUGUUGACCAAAAUCCGCCAAGGUGAUGCUUGGUGAACAUGGGGUGUAAACCUUCAAUAUAGUGCAUGCGAUGAAAUCAUUGCUAAUGUUUUGGACUUCAUUCUUGAGGAAGUGUGAGAUUUUAUUUCACUCCAAAAUGUAUAGACUUUGCAUGUUUAACAUUGGUUAGUAACUAUGAAAGUAUAACCACAUUUUGAUGUGGACCUUCCGGAAGUGUUGAUACACUCAAUCGUUGCCAUAAAUUAUGGUACCCGUCUUGAUGGACGAACGUCGCUGUAAUUAGAAAUAAUGACAUCGGCUUCAGUGCCAUGCAUUUUACCAAUGUAAUAAAAGGUAAUCGUUGGAGUAUGCAAAUAUUUGCAUAAUUUCUGAAGACCUAUUCAAGAAAAUUGAGGCUUGAAUAAUUCAUAUUGGCACAAAAAUACUAUUUCAGCCUGUAGUGACUAUGCAUGAAUGAUAUUUUACUAUGAGCGUAAUAUAUUUUAGUGAACAACAACAAUAAAUGCUUCAGAGGAGCAAAUUUUAGUACGGCUGAUGCCUUAUAGCCAUAUGUGUAGACCUCAAUUUAUAUAGGAUGACACUUUGAAGAUAAUCACCAAUAUGGUAUAGAUCUCUUAGUAAUAGAAAACAUAGUCUAACUUUUGUCAGUAGAUGUUUAUAAUUCUAUUACCUUAUGUUAUGCUAAAUCUGUAAAAUUACUUUAAAGGUAAUCAUCUGUCAAUGUGACAUGAUGUAGACCUUGCAGUAAUAGUGGAUAGUCUGCAAAUUAUGCAGUAGAUCGCACAAUUACCUUGUGAUUCGCAAAAAGUUGAGGUAGUCACAUCAAUUCACAUAUUCGGGAGAGCACUCGAAGAUAGUCAUUUUGCCAAAAGAAGGAGGCAAAUGUAGAUCUUUCAUCGAUGAGGAUAAUCUGCAAAGUGCAGUAGAUGCCUCAUCUACCUUGUGAUCCCAAAAUUUGAAUUGUAAAAAAAUGUUGUAUUUGAGAAUUACAUAUUCUAAAAAAAAUGCUGAGGCAAUCAUAUAGAAUAUGUACACAUAGUUCGAGAUUUUAUUUUAGACGAUACAUAGUCUAAAUAUUCAAACGUAUAAUACAAUAUUGAAUGAAUAUGAUAAAAAUAGGUUCUUAAUACAAUAAGAAAUCACAAUGAAAUAAAAGGAACAUGCUGCUGUGCAAUAUGGUAAUACUAUGGUUAUCUUUUGUUGAAAACACCACAACGCGCAUCCACUUUAUUGGAAUUCUUGGCUGCAGGCCUGUUUGGGUGAGGAACGUUAUGACUUGGGCUGGCCCAUGCAUCCACAAAGGAAAGGAUAAGGAGCGCACGGACGAGGGUUUCCCCACGUCGUUACACCCGUUCCCCACUCUCAGAUCGAUCUGGUGCACAACACCUCACCACGCCGGCCCUCCCCUACCCCAUGCCGUCGUCUUAAGGGAGGUGGCGUGAUCCCCUUGUCACCGCACCGCCCCCGCCGUUGUUGCUCGACCCGGGGGCGUCGGUGAGGGUGAGGGCCACCGGCGACCACGCGCCCCGGACGGCUGCGCGGAUCUGCGCCAUGGCCGCGGCGAACUACUGCAGGAUGCGGCGCACCACCGGUGGAGGCGUCGGGAGGAGGGGUGGCGUUGGAGGCGGUAGUGAUGUCGCCGGUGAUGGAGGAGGCGACGGCGUCGACGACGAGCCCUGGCCCUUCGUCUCCUCUUCUUCCACCUUGGUGGCGUUGUUCAGAUCGGGAGCGGCGGUGUAACCGCCAGUUUUCACUGCUGCCGGCGUCGGGGACAGGAGGUCCGGGACAGUGUAAGGAUGGAUUCGUUGCUCCGAUCGCUGGUUGUUGGCCGUUCGUCAUCGGGAGCCGCGAUGGGAGCGCGUCUGCAGCGGGUUCUGCCGAUCGGUCAAGACCAAGUGGUGCCACGUCGUUGGGCGCAACACGCCAUGGAGUGCUGCGCCGGGAGGAGCAGUGUCGGGACAAAGGUCGCCGCGUUGCAUCCCCGUCUCCGUCGUGCACCAUAGUCUCGCCGACGGCGAGCAUGGCCUCAUCGCUGCUUCUCUCUUGUCAUGUGGCCUAACGCUCUUGCAGAGGCGUGCUGAUAACAUGUGAAGAAUAAAAGAGAGAAGAAGAGCAAAUGAUGAAAAUCGCUCUCUCGUUGAUUGAAGAUGUGGGUAUAUAUACCCGAGUACAAAGGCGGUUACAAGGAGCAGUUGCUAAACUAAAGCAACCGACAUAGCAGGGAUUAUCCCUUAAUUAAUGUAUUUAUUAAUUAAUUCCUAACAGUUAGUAGAGUUUGAUCGUUCAAUAUGUUUCCCCGUUACUGUAUAUUAAUGGACGCAAGUCAAUGAGUACUCCCUGAUGAACCACUCCAAGGAUGUUACUUCUUCAGCAAGGGCCUGUGUUCUGCUGACUUUGCGAAAGAUGAUGAAGCGUCUCAACCCUUCAGAGGAGAGCCUGCGGGUUUAUAUUGAUAGAACGAGAGAACCGAGGAUUACAAUGUUCGAUUUGAGUAGAAACAGAAGAAGGGAUAUAAUCUCGAACUACUUUAAACUAUAACAAACUCUAUCUAUACCUCUAGCUAUCCUUGGCACACGAGCCAUGCUAAACCGAGAGAGGAGGAGGAGAUCAACCAUGACUGCUGUCACAUUAUGUUAUGUCCAAUACCCUCCCUUAAUUACAAUUGCGCUCCAAGUUGAGAUUACGUUUGAACUCUUCAAAGCCUCUAGCUAACAAUGCUUUUGUAAACCCAUCUGCAAGCUGAUCCUUGGAGGGGAUAAAUCUGAUUUCUAACUGCUUGUUUGCAACUCGUUCUCUCACAAAGUGAAAGUCUAUUUCAAUAUGCUUAGUCCUGGCAUGAAACAUGGGGUUAGCAGACAAGUAUGUAGCGCCUAGAUUAUCACACCAGAGACAAGGAGGCAAAGUUUGUUGAAUUCCAAGUUCCUUCAACAUAUACAUCAACCAAAUCACCUCAGCUGUUGCAUUUGCUAAUGCUUUAUAUUCUGAUUCUGUACUUGACCUUAAGACAGUUGCUUGUUUCUUGGCACACCAUGAAAUUAAGUUUGGCCCAUAGAAAAUUGCAAACCCAUCAGUGGAUCUUCUAUCAUCAAGACAACCGACCAAUCCACAUCGGAAAAGGCACUAAUACGAGUAGAUGAAGAUUUUCUAAAAGCUAAACCAAGACUGGUUGUAUUCUUCACAUACCUGAGAAUGCGCUUUGCUGCUGUCCAAUGUGCAGUGGUGGGUGCAUGCAAAAACCGGCAAACUUUGUUUACUGCAAAUGAUAUCUCAGGCCAAGUCAGAGUCAAAUACUGAAGAGCACCAACAAAACUCCAAUAACUGGUAUUAUCUUCCUGAUUCAAGAGUUCUCCUGGAGUCAGAGUCAAUGACACCGAGCUGGACAAAGGUGUAGGUGACGGCUUGUAAUCCUUCAUGCCAACUCUAUUUAACAAAUCAUUUGCAUAUUUUUCUUGGGAGAGAUUAAUACCAUCCUUUAUUUUCUUUACCUCAAUUCAUAAGAAGAAAUGCAACUCCCCUAGAUCCUUUAGAGCAAAUUUUGAACUUAAAUCCUUAAGCAAACCAGCAAUUGCAUCAUUAGAGGAACUAGUUACAAUGAUAGCAUCAACAUAUAUGAGAAUAAAUAUGGAUGUCUUGAACUUGUUAUAAAUAAACAAGGAUGUGUCAGAUUUUGAUGGCACAAACCCAAGCUGCUGCAUCUUUGCACUAAGGAGAGAGUACCAUGUUCUGGGAGCCUGUUUCAGUCCAUACAAGGCUUUAUCAAGCUUACAGACAUGAAAUGGUGAAUUCUUAUCCUCAAACCCAGAAGGUUGUUUCAUAUACACUUCCUCUUUCAGAACACCAUGAAGAAACACAUUAUUCACAUCUAGCUGGCGAAGACUCAAUCCCUUGGAAACGACAAUGGAUAAAACUAGACCAAUAGAAGCAGCUUUAACAACAUGGCUUAUCAGUUCUAUUCAACCCCAGCACCAGCUCACUUAACAGGCACUUGUUGAUAUAUCUAUCAUAUCAAUCCUAUUAAACCUUGUUGAUGUCUAGGACUUUGUUCAUGUUAAGAAUGUGAUGAAAUUUUAAAAAAAUAUUUCAAACUUCCGGUCAUAUUACGUAUCAUAUUUUGAACUAUUUUUACUAAAAAAAAAAUUCAAAACCAAUUUUUUUCUAUUACUAGUGGCGCACCUAGCAAAUGGUGCGCCAUUACUAAGUUUGAAUUUUUUUUCCAUUUUCCCCCUCUAGAUCUUAAAAGCCCCGUAUCUUUUAUUCUGUUAGGUUUUUGGGGAUUCUAAAAAUCUUCAACGGGUCCCCCCUGUUGAAUUCAGGUGUAACUUUUCAAGUAGAUGAUUUUUCAUAUAAAAAAUAUUUCAAACUUCCCAGUCAUAUUACGUAUCAUAUUUUUAWYAUUUWWWCAAAAAAAAAAAAUCGAAACCAAUUUUUUUAUCUGUUACUAGUGGCGCACCUAGCAAAUGGUGCGUCAUUACUAAGUUUGAAAUUUUUCCAUUUUUCCCUCUAAAUCUUAAAAGCCCCGUAUCUUUUAUUCUAUUAGGUUUUUGGGGAUUCUAAAAAUCUUCAACGGGGUUAAACCGAGAGAGGAGGAGGAGAUCAACCGUGACUGCUGUCACAUUAUGUUAUUUUCAAUAGACUCCAGCUCAUGGCUGUGCAUACAACAAAACCCUGUGUAUCUUGUCGAAUCUUGUGUCGUAAACAGAAAUCGCGGUUUUUUCCUAAGGAAAGAAAAACAACAUGCUAACGAGUGAUUGGUUCAGGUUGCCAAUUGGUUAUCAAAAGGCAACCAGGAAGCUUCUGCAGUGAACCAUUACCGUGUCUUUAUUUAUUUAUAUCCGGUUGCACAUGCAACUAAAAUUGAUACCCAAGCAUAGGUUCAGAUAUGAAGAUACUAUUGCAAAGAAUUGCAUUUCAUUUCCCUUAAUUUACAUGUCCACACCGAGAAAACAAAUGAAAUUUUUUGACCUGUUUUCAUACCACUCAUUGAAACCUGCUACAGGUUGAAGCUACAAGGAAAAAUAGUACUAGGUGUGAAAAAACCAUUCUCUCUUCCUUAUAGCAUUAUCAGGGACGAAGUGGCUACAAACAGAAACAAAAGUUACGGUUCAUCUCAGGCUUCUCCCUUUCUGAUUCUUCACUCGAGAAAAAGUCUCUCAGAUUGUGCCCAGAUGAUUUAGGCUCCUGAUUCAACCUACCCAUGUGCUUGUGAAAUACCUGAAAGCUUAGCAUAGCUAGAUUGCAAACAAGUGCUCAUGUGCAAACAGUUACUAUAAUCCUCAUUAGCUUCGGACAGAGACACUUCCCACAAACUUGUCAAAGUAGCAAGCUAACGAUUGAGCACACACUUAAAUAACUACUCUAAUCCAUUGCCAGUAGGGAAUGGAUUUCAUUUUUUGAGAGUAACCAGCAUCAACGAUAUAGCUAUAACAGUUACUGAACACUAAUCACUUGGUUGUUUGACUUCAAUGUCAAGAACAAAUGGAAACAGGAGUAGCCAACAAUUUUAUUCCUUUGUGAACCUUUCAAGAGCAGGUAUCUAGUGAGAUUACCUCAUCAUGAUCCGAAAUUACUCUCAUCACAUAAUUGUAAUCCUAACUAGCCAGUGCCAAAAGUGUUUUCCUAUCUACAAUAUAUUUGUGGAAGCUUAUCUGGAUCUUGGUAGGGGAAUUAAAAGAAUGAGCAAAUCUGAAAUCUAGAUUGUAAAGCUAAAUAAGAGUUCAACUCCAGUACAGAGAAGUCUUCACAUUCCAGUCAUUGGGGAAAGGUAGUGUCCAGGGGAUGUGGGAGGGAUGGACUCACGCCAAAGAAAUGAUUGAGAUGCCUAUGCAAUGCAAGGUGGUCUCAGGAUGCGACUCAUACUCCAGCUGUCAAUAUUGCAUAGGUAUAUAGUAGUUUGAUUAGCCAUUUUGCAUUCUGUACAUGAAUAUGGAAGGACUGCUGACUAUUUCUUCCUGCUUGUGGAUGAACCUUUAAUCUUUUGAAUGACCUCCCUCACUCUUUUUCUUUAUUACUUUUUUGACUUUUGUGAGAGAGGCAUAGAUAUUAACGAAUAUAGCUCUUCAUAAUGAUGAAAUUUGCAGGGUCAAUGACAACAAAGCGCUUUUGAGUCUUCUUUUAACUUGAUGAUUGUGCAUUUGUGCUUAUGGAAUAAUCAACUACUGUGGGAUAGUGAGAGAUGUGAUUAUAGGUAGGUGGUUAGGUAGGUAUGGUGUGAACACAUGGAAGAAAUGGUUUAUUUUCUGGGAUCUGUAUAUGUACACCAGCAGAGUUUCCUGAUGAAGGAAUGCAAUGACGAGUCUUGAAGAGGCUAGACAACAAAAGUUACGCAAAUGGAAUGACUGGAUUUCAAAGACUUCAGACUAGAGGAACAUCAAACUUAACAAUACGCACUAGAAAUUCAGAUUGCAAUAAUCAAAGGCUUACGAAAUAUGCUGUUUUUGGCAAUGGUGGGACAGAACAAAAUACUCGGGAUGAAGAAGAGAAUAAAAUCACCUUCACCAUACUAAAUUCAGGAGGUUCUAGGAAUAAAAAUUAGCAAGCUCAAGUCUUUUUUUGCUCAAUCAAUGUUCAUCAAUCACCUAGUAACAAGUGUUCUCUACCUUUACCACUAUAUGUAUCAGCUGAAAACUCUCUUGUGUAACUUAAUUCAGCAUGACAAUGCAUUCAGAGAUUAUGAGUGUGCUCAAAAGCUAGACUGCCAACUUAUCAAGAAAGCAGGAAGUUGUCUAACAUAGGUCUCAUGAGGCAAUAAGAGUUCGACAAUUGCACACUGAAUUCAAUCUACCAUAGCUAAACCCAUCACGAAUUUCAGCAGGGGUUUACUGACCUUUCCACAAAUCUGCUACUGCUGCAUUGUUCAAUUCCAAAGUUGUCCACGGACCACGUCUAUUCAGCAACCAAGAAGCUUAGUUCAGCCUAAAAAGUUCGGAACGUAAGACAAAUACACGAGUCCUUUUAGACUUUUGUAAGAGUGUGAAUAGACAAGGCAUACCAAUUAGUGAAAGCCCGAGAUCUCAAUGUGCUCCACGCAAGCACUCACAUGGUAAGAAAGGUAUUCUGGUAAAAUGUUCCUGUAAUUAACAAAAUUUCAUUUAGCAACAAAGCUUAUGACAAAUGCAGGUACACCUCCUAUCCUAUCAAUAUAGCAUCGAACUGAAGAAACUGCACACCUUAGUUUCAAUAGCAAAUCAGCAAAAUAUCAGUUAUUCCCMCAUUAUGAUCCUCACAGCUUAACAAGUACACCAGCAAGUUUUGGUGAAUGAUGACCAAUAUCUCGAAACCAACCAGAACAAGCAUAAGAAUAUCUGCACAACAAAUAAAAUUUUGAAUUCAUUAUAAAAUCGUUCAUGAAGGAAGAGAAGGAAAUUCUGAAUGGCAUCAGCUGAGGAUCAAGUUGAUUUUUUUUUUGAUAUUUCUCGGUUCAAAAAAAAAACAUCUAGGUAUCCGUAAUAUCGUUGAAGGAGUUGAGCAUGUACUUACCAGAUUUAUGUAUGAUGUGCAGUAAGAAGAUGCCACAAAAGAUCCCCAUGUGUGAACUUUGCAUAAACAGGGAGGACUCGACAAGGCUAAAAAAUGUACAACUCCUCAAAAGUCGCAAGAGAACCUGUAAAGUAGAUAGAAAAACAGUGUUAAGAUUUUGCAGUAAUGAGGUAAGCAGAUCCAAAAUAUGACUUCAUAUGCGAGAGCAUGAAAAAGCAAGGUAAUGUUGGGUAUUUGGAUGAGCAGACAGGGAAGUUUUUUUUUACCUUGGAUUGGUCUAGUGCUCUAGUAUGAUUUUCAGGAUAGUCCUGAUGAACUGUUGUCCUAGCUCCUCAAUGAUGCAACAUGGUGCUUAGUUGUCGCAAAUCAAUGCCGAAACAAACACUGAGAGCAUUGCUGCUGUACAAGCUAUCAAUGUUCCAUGGUAACAUUGUUUUCACCAUUCAAAUGGCCCUUUUUCAAAAUUGCACUGCUCUGAAACUGCUGCUCUCUGGAAAAUCCAUGCAGAUCCAGUGCUCCUCUGAAUUAAGACUGAAGAGAUUGUACGUACAAAUUUCAUGUUCAACCUUGCGUGACUGUCCGUCGACUUGAUGAAGAAAUGGGACUUCCUCUUCUCCCUUCACUUGUUUCCUUGACAAACACAAGGAAACCUGCAACAAAAAACAAAUGGUGAAUCUGAGGGAAAAAAGAACUAGUCCUGUGCUAUGCCAAACAGAAACAAGGCAGGUUUUGUGAAUAAUUAAAAUUUCGCAUUAUCUCUGGAGAGAUACAAAUAGAUACACUAUCCUUAGAUCAGGCUAACAAGGUUAAUUUUGCAUAGACGAAAGAAAAGAAGCUCACUUUUGUGUAUUUAACUAUUUAUUACCAUUAUGCUUAUGUAAAUUGGUUAGUACACCAAAUNNNNNNNNNNNNNNNNNNNNNNNNNNNNNNNNNNNNNNNNNNNNNNNNNNNNNNNNNNNNNNNNNNNNNNNNNNNNNNNNNNNNNNNNNNNNNNNNNNNNAUUCUACAAAAUUACCAAAUAGUAAAAAAAAGUUAUAGGUAAAAAAAAGAUUUUUUUCAAUAAAAUAAAAAUAAUAAUUUUAUUACUUAUUUUAUUAUCAAUAAAAAUUCAAUAUUAUUAUUACUUAGUUUGUUUAUUUUAAUGAUUAUUUGGAUUUCAAACAAUUUGUGACAUCAAGACCUAAGGGUUAAUAGGAUUGAUAGCUUACUAUUGUUAGCAAAACAACAAGUGGAGACUUGGAAGAUAGGGCGAUAGAACCAGGAAGUUAAGCGUGCUCAGGCUGUAGCAGGGCUACUACUAAAGUUUAGCUGUAGCGCGAUAGCAGUAGCGCUUGGCCCAACUAAGGCCCUUAGUAGUAGUAGCACUGCCCGUACCAGCGCUACUACUAAAGUUUAGCUGUAGCGCGAUAGCAGUAGCGCUUGGCCCAACUAAGGCCCUUCGGAGUGCUCCAUCUUGUACCGGUGCUAAGGAUGCCAUGUAGCCGAAAAAUCUGAUGUGUCACUAUAGUUAAGAGGAGAGAAAUGAGUUUGAUGACCCCAUAAAAAAACAAUGCCAAGCGUGGGAACCUAGGCACAAUUCUUAAAUGAAGGAAGCACGCGAAUGCAUGCACUAAUAUAGUUGCCAAAUCAUUUAAUAAAGUGAGCUUAGCUACAACAAGUUAAGCAUGUAUGCAUUGGAGGCUUUAGUUGCUAAAGUAUUUUAUGUGCUUAGCACCUCAUCUAAGCACUUGUGCAUUGGAACAAGCCUUAGGUAGAGAGAGGAAAGCAAUUAAAAGGGAGAGAGAGCAUUGUAGUGACUCAGGAAAAAGUGCCGCUAAACGCGUGAACCUAUGUAAAAUGAUUACCAAUCAAUGCAUGAAGAAGUUUAAUUAUUUAAUAAUUUUGUAAGGUAAGCUUAACAACAAAAGCUAAGAGCAUUUCCAGCCGUUUGGCCUCAGCGCACCCAACGAAGUGUGUUGGGCGUUUCUGUCGGCGCCUUUUUUGGCCUCGGGGGAUCAAGUUUCAAGCCACGCCCUCGGGUUUCGCCCCCUAACGCACAAAAAAUUCAAAGUUUUCUUUCCCGCUACAAAAAACAAACAAAUUAGGCGAUCAUCAUGCCACAGGUCGGCGAUCAUCAUGCCACAGGGUCAGUGAUCGAACAUAGCCAAAGUCCGGCGAUCAAAAGGGUAGGAACCAUAUAUGUAGAACUCAAAUGAAAGGAUCCUCCGCUGUAAGGCUAGGGGAGGUCGGCAUCGUCGUCGGCAUUGUGGGCACAACUUCAGUGCUCGGCGUCGUGGGCGUAGCGCUCGGCAUCGUCAAGCCCAGGGGCCUUGCCAUCGGCGUCCUCGGCUUCCUCUGCUUUGGCUGGGCGAAAUCGAUGGCUUGAUAAGGGGGCACAUACUUCUUCGGCGGCAUGACGGGCGGGUGUGGGCAGAAUGGCGGGAUUGGCGGGGGAGAAGAGCGUAGGUAAUGGGAAAAUGGAGGGAAAUGGGAAAACGGCGAGAAAAUUGGUCGGUAUCGCCGACAGAACGGGCCCACGUGCCUUUUCGCUUCAGCCAGUGCCCCUAGGAGACCCCCGGGGCAUUGGGUUCCGAUUGGGUUAGUCGGUUGUAAUUUCAGCCCAAACCGAUGAAAACCGAGGAUCUCGGGAUGCGACUGGGACUUUUUUCGGCACCGGUGCUACAAAAGGCGCCCUGGGUGGCUGUUGGGGUGCGGAUGGAGAUGCUCUAAGCACCCAAGUAUUGGGAAGACUAGUUGCUAAGAUUUUUAAUACAUUUAGCACCUUAUCUAAGCACUGAUGCAUUGGAAGAGGCAUCAAAUGCCCGCGAAUCACGACCGCGGAUUACGUCUAUGGGCACUGAUCGCUCAGUCUUAAAAUUUCGUCAUCCACAUCCGAAUACCUCAUACUAUAAAUCUUAAAUCCAUACAAAAGUAUGCAAACAUAAAAAUCCACGUACCACGUAGAUCAUCUAUCCUACUCCUCCUCGCAGAUGUCGAAUAUCUCCGUGCCCGGCUAUGGGUACAUGGGCGGUGAUACGUCUCCAACGUAUCGAUAAUUUAUGAAGUAUUCAUGCCAUGUUUGCCUAUGCUUACAAUACUUGUAUAUGGUUCUGUUGCACUUUAUAUGAUUUAUUUAGAACUAACCCGGACUGACGUUGUUUUUAACAGAACUACCGUGGUGUUGUUUUUUUGUGUAGAAAUAAAGGUUCUCGGAAUUCGACAAAACUUUUUGACUAUUUUUCUAGAAGAAAAGAGAAAUACUGGAGCAAAGAACCAUCAGAGAGGAGGCCCAGGCUGCCCACUAGGCACCAGGGCGCGCGAGCCCCCGUGGCGCACCCUGGUACCUAGUGGGUACCUCGUGGCCCAUCUUACAUGAUUCUAACGCCCACAAAUCCUAUAAAUAUAAAAACCUCCAGAAAUUACCCUAGACGAGAAGUUCCGCCACCGCAAGCCUCUGUAGCCACAAAAACCAAUGGGGAGCCCGUUCUGACACCCUGUCAGAGGGGGACAUCAUCUUCGGUGGCCAUCUUCAUCAUCCCGACGGAGGGCCUGACGAGGAGGGAGUUGUCCACCCUCGGGGCCGAGGGUCUGUACCAGUAGCUAUGUGUUUAAUCUCUCUCUCUCUCUCUCUCUCUCUCUCUCUCUCUCUCUCGUGUUCUUGAUAUGUCAUGGUAUUGAUAUAUCAUGGUCCUUGUUAAUAUAGUUGGAUCAUAUGGUGUUUGCCCCAUGCUAUUGUUGUGAUGAGUUGAAUCUUUAACUUUAAGAUCUCGUUAUGUUGGAUUGAAUAUUCAGGUUUGAGAGCACAUGAUAUAUGUCUUCCAUGCGGAUACCCGUAGUGACAUUGGGGUAUUCAAGUGAUUCACUUGAUAUAUAUUUUGGCACUCAACUCACGGAUACCCGAGGUGACAUUGGGAUAAUCUAUGCAUAGGGGUUGAUGCACGUUUUCAUACUAUGUUCUUCGAUAGAAAUCUUGGGGUGCUCCUUGAAGUUAUUUGUGUUGGAUUGAAUAUGAAGAACCUGAAAUUGUUGCAUGUCGUAUAAUUAGCCCACGGAUAUUUGAGGUGAAAUUGGAGUAUUUAGGUGACAUUAGAGUUGAUUGAUAUGCAUUGGUGUUAUUUUAGUACGAACUCUUGAAUAGAUCGAUCGGAAAGGAUAACUUUUUAUCUUAGUACGAACUCUUGGAAAGAUUGAUCGAUCGGAAAGGAUAACUUUUUAUCUUAGUACGAACUCUUGGAAAGAUUGAUCGGAAAGAAUAACUUUGAGGUGGUUUCGUACCCUACAAACAAGUUCUUCUUAUGUUCCCCACUAGGUAGGAAUUUUGGACUGAUUUUUUAUCUCACGUUGAGGGAUUGUUAUGUGAUCCAAUUAUAUUAGCAUUGUUGAGAGAUUUUACUAGCGAAAGUACGGACCCUAGGCCUCAUUUUCAAGCACUGCAAUAUCACUUGUGCUCACUUUUGUUACUUGCUACCUUGCUGGUUUUUAUUGUUCCUAUUACAAAAAUCAAUAUCUACUAUCAUUACUACACUUUUAUCACUAUUUCUUCACCGAACUAGUGCACCUAUAUAAUUUACAAUUGUAUUUGGUGUGUUGGGGACACAAGAGACUUUUUAUUAUUUGGUUGCAGGAUUGUUUGAGAGAGACCAUCUUCAUCCUACUCCUCCUACGGAUUGAUAAACCUUAGGUCAUCCACUUGAGGGAGAUUUGCUACUGUCAUACAAUACUCUGCGCUUGGAGGCCCAACAUGAGUCUACAAGAACAAGUUGUGUAGUAGACAUGAGGCGACAACUGCAACUCAUGCUCCGGCAGCUCCUCCGGCUUCUCUACAUCGUCCUCCGAUUCAAGUUCAGUGAAAAGAGCAUCGAUCACCGCCAGCUUCUGCCGAAUGAAGCGUCGGUUGGCCUCCAUAUAGGCAUCAUACUGGAUGGACUCCAGCUCCGCCAUCUCCUCCGCUUGAGCGACGAUGAACUCCGCCUGCACGUGCUCAAUGUUGAAGCCCGGAGCCGAUGCCACCUCCUGCUCNNNNNNNNNNNNNNNNNNNNNNNNNNNNNNNNNNNNNNNNNNNNNNNNNNNNNNNNNNNNNNNNNNNNNNNNNNNNNNNNNNNNNNNNNNNNNNNNNNNNUUUUAAAGAACGUUCGUCAAAUUUAAGAAAGGUUCAACGAUUUUGAUACAAAGUUCAGUGAUUUUGAAAAACGUUCAUCGAAUUUGAGAAGGGAUCAUCAAUUUUGAUAAAAAAGUUUAGCUGUUUUGAAAAUCGUUUAUUGAAUUURRAAAAAAAAGCUAAUCAAUUUUUWAAACAAAAAAUCAUCAAAUAUGAAAAAAAGUUCAUAAAAUUUAAAAGAUGUUCAUAAAAUUUGAAAGAAAAGUUCAUCGAAUAUGAAAAAAAGUUUUUCAAAAUUGAAAAAAGUUCAUCAAAAUUGAAAAAAAGUUCAUAGAAUUUGAAAAGAAGUUUCUUUGAUUUGAAGAAAAUUAAUUCAAGAAUUUGAAAGAAAAUCAUCGAGCGAGGAAGAAAAGAUGAAAAAGAAAAGAAUAAACAGAACGUAAAAUGCAAAAAAAGGAAAAAAAGAAAAAAAGAAGAAGGAAAGAGAAAAUAAGAAAAGAGGCAACGAGAUGCAAACUCACAUAUCAUAUCAAGGAAGGUGGUGUGGUGCCGCGGUGGUUACCCCAAUGUAGAUUGAUGGGUAUCUUGCUAAUUCGAUCCCCUGCGGCGGUGUCAUUUUUGUUUUACAAAGAAAGCGGAGAUGGGUCGGCCCAGCCGCCCCGUUGGAGGUAUCUAGGGUUUUACGUCGAUCCUAACAUCGAUAUUGAAGAGAAUGCGUGCAAUUUAUAGUUGAGAGGCAGUCGCGUCAACACACCAGGUGUCUUGAACACAUAACACUAAAAUACACGAUAUACCCAGCUUCAUGACCAAGUAAUGUGUUGCUCUUUUCUUUAUAUGUAGAAAAUAUAUAGGAAUAUAUAGGAUUACCAUGCAUAGAGAGGAACCCGACUAGUUCGAGGAAUCUCAAUGAGUUUAUGAUGAUGGUGGUGAUCUCGGCCAAGAACGUUGAAAAUAGCAUACACAUUAUGGGCUCUUUGUAAGGCAAGGGAUACGGUCCCCCUCUACGGUGCCCUUGUUGCCCCCUCCAUAACCAGACCUUUCAAAGCCGUCUCGAACGCCCAGAUAGCCUUACCAGUCAUAGAAAAGCGACCUAGACGGGCGCCCUAAAUGCGCCUCAAAUGGCCGGGCUGACCGUCACCCCUCAUAUUCAGCCCAAAUAUUAGUCGGAUAUGGGGGUGCUCGCGCGUCCGCUAUGACGGUCUGGUGGCAUGGACCCAUGGGUAAUCACCCGGAAAUCUGGCGGUACGACGGACGCCUCCUCAGGUGAGGUGCGUGACGCCGGUCCGGCUCAUCGUCCCAGGCAAAUUCGGCUAUUUUAGUUGACUAGCUCCCCCUGACCCUAUCCCACACACCUCCUUCCUAUCUGCGUCGCCAGCCCGAGCCCAUUCAUCUCCUCUCUCUCGCUCUGGUGCUCUUCCCACACUCUUCGGUGGUGCCAUGGUCCGAGCAAAGAUCACCACCUACACCAUGCUCAUGACGGAGCGCCGAUACCAAAUAAAGCAGAAGAUUUGGGCGAGGCACGCCGCUCGCAUUGCUUUCGGGCUGCCAUUGAACUUGUCGGAGACGGAGAAGAGAAGGAGGAGGCGCAGGCGAAGGAGGGGAGAGUAUAUGUUGCCCGCUCCGGUGAAGGAGGAGUAGGCGAACGGGAAGGAGGGAGAGGAGUUGCAGCCCGCUUCGAUGGAGGCAGAGCUGUCGGAGCAGGAGGUGGCANNNNNNNNNNNNNNNNNNNNNNNNNNNNNNNNNNNNNNNNNNNNNNNNNNNNNNNNNNNNNNNNNNNNNNNNNNNNNNNNNNNNNNNNNNNNNNNNNNNNAAAAUUUUAUUUGUUGUGCAGAUAUUCUUAUGCUUGUUCUGGUUGGUUUCGAGAUAUUGGUCAUCAUUCACCAAAACUUGCUGGUGUACUUGUUAAGCUGUGAGGAUCAUAAUGUGGGAAUAACUGAUAUUUUGCUGAUUUGCUAUUGAAACUAAGGUGUGCAGUUUCUUCAGUUCGAUGCUAUAUUGAUAGGAUAGGAGGUGUACCUGCAUUUUUCAUAAGCUUUGGUGCUAAAUGAAAUUUUGUUAAUUACAGGAACUUUUUACAAGAAUACCUUUCUUACCAUGUCAGUGCUUGCGUCGAGCAGAUUGAGAUCUCGGGCUUUCACUAAAUGGUAUGCCUUGUCUAUUCACACUCUUACAGAAGUAUAAAAGGACUCGUGUAUUUGUCUUACGUUCCGAACUUUUUAGGCUGAACUAAGCUUCUUGGUUGCUGAAUAGACGUGGUCCGUGGACAACUUUGGAAUUGAACAAUGCAGCAGUAGCAGAUUUGUGGAAAGGUCAGUAAACCCCUGCUGAAAUUCGUGAUGGGUUUAGCUAUGUAGAUUGAAUUCAGUGUGCAAUUUUCGAACUCUUAUUGCCACAUGAGACCUAUGUUAGAGAACUUCCUGCUUUCUUGAUAAGUUGGCAGUCUAGCUUUUGAGCACACUCAUAAUCUCUGAAUGCAUUGUCAUGCUGAAUUAAGUUACACAAGAGAGUUUUCAGCUGAUACAUAUAGUGGUAAAGGUAGAGAACACUUGUUACUAGAUGAUUGAUGAACAUUGAUUGAGCAAAAAAAGACUUGAGCUUGCUAAUUUUUAUUCCUAGAACCUCCUGAAUUUAGUAUGGUGAAGGUGAUUUUAUUCUCUUCUUCAUCCCGAGUAUUUUGUUCUGUCCCACCAUUGCCAAAAACAGCAUAUUUCGUAAGUCUUUGAUUAUUGCAAUCUGAAUUUCUAGUGCGUAUUGUUAAGUUUGAUGUUCCUCUAGUCUGAAGUCUUUGAAAUCCAGUCAUUCCAUUUGCGUAACUUUUGUUGUCUAGCCUCUUCAACACUCGUCAUUGCAUUCCUUCAUCAGGAAACUCUGCUGGUGUACAUAUACAGAUCCCAGAAAAUAAACCAUUUCUUCCAUGUGUUCACACCAUACCUACCUAACCACCUACCUAUAAUCACAUCUCUCACUAUCCCACAGUAGUUGGUUAUUCCAUAAGCACAAAUGCACAAUCAUCAAGUUAAAAGAAGACUCAAAAGCGCUUUGUUGUCAUUGACCCUGCAAAUUUCAUCAUUAUGAAGAGCUAUAUUCGUUAAUAUCUAUGCCUCUCUCACAAAAGUCAAAAAAGUAAUAAAGAAAAAGAGUGAGGGAGGUCAUUCAAAAGAUUAAAGGUUCAUCCACAAGCAGGAAGAAAUAGUCAGCAGUCCUUCCAUAUUCAUGUGCAGAAUGCAAAAUGGCUAAUCAAACUACUAUAUACCUAUGCAAUAUUGACAGCUGGAGUAUGAGUCGCAUCCUGAGACCACCUUGCAUUGCAUAGGCAUCUCAAUCAUUUCUUUGGCGUGAGUCCAUCCCUCCCACAUCCCCUGGACACUACCUUUCCCCAAUGACUGGAAUGUGAAGAUUUCUCUGUACUGGAGUUGAACUCUUAUUUAGCUUUGCAAUCUUGAUUUUAGAUUUGCUCGUUCUUUCAAUUACCCUACCAAGAUCCAGAUAAGCUUCCACAAAUAUAUUGUAGAUAGGAAAACACUUUGGCCACUGGCCAGUGAGGAUUACAAUUAUGUGAUGAGAGUAAUUUCGGAUCAUGAUGAGGUAAUCUCACUAGAUACCUGCUCUUGGAAGGUUCGCAAAGAAAUAAAAUUGUUGGCUACUCCUGUUUCCAUUUGUUCUUGACAUUGAAGUCAAACAACCAAGUGAUUAGUGUUCAAUAACUGUUAUAGCUAUAUUGUUGAUGCUGGUUACUCUCAAAAAAUAAAAUCCAUUCCCUACUGGCAAUGAAUAAGAGUAGUUAUUUAAGUGUGUGCUCAAUCGUUAGCUUGCUACUUUGACAAGUUUGUGGGAAGUGCCUCUGUCCGAAGCUCAUGAGGAUUAUAGUAACUGUUUGCACAUGAGCACUUGUUUCCAAUCUAGCUAUGCUAAGCUUUCAGGUUUUUCACAAGCACAUGGGCAAGUUGAAUCAGGAGCCUAAAUCAUCUGGCCACGAUCUGAGACACUUUUUCUCGAGUGAAGAAUCAGAAAGGGAGAAGCCUGAGACAAAUCGUACCUUUUGUUUCUCUUUGUAGCCACUUUCUCCCUGAUAAUGCUAUAAGGAAGAGAGAAUGGUUUUUUCACACCUAGUACUAUUUUCCUUGUAGCUUCAACCUUUAGCAGGUUUUGAUGAGUGGUACGAAAACAGGGCAAAAAACUUCAUUUGUUUUCUCGGUGUGGACAAUGUAUAUCCAGUGAAAUGAAAUUCAGUUCUUUGUAAUAGUAUCUUCAUAUCUGAACCUAUGCUUGGGUGUCACUUUUGGUUGCCUGUGCUAAAGCAUAGUUAAAUAAAGGCACUGCAAUGGUUCACUGCAGGAUCUUCCUGGUUGCCUUUUAAUACCCAAUUGGCAAUUUGAAGCAAUCAUUGUGGCCAUGUUGUUUUUCUUUUAUGAGGAAAACAAAUGAUGUGAUUUAUGUUUACACAGGGGUUUUGCUAUAUGCACAGGCAGAUAGGCGACUCGGGCGACCNNNNNNNNNNNNNNNNNNNNNNNNNNNNNNNNNNNNNNNNNNNNNNNNNNNNNNNNNNNNNNNNNNNNNNNNNNNNNNNNNNNNNNNNNNNNNNNNNNNNCAGGAGUGGAAAGGGGACUUGGGCCUUGGCAGGCCUCCUCUCUCCCUCAACUGACUUUUAAAAAAACAGAAACAACCACAAAGAAAGGUUUAACAAAAUAAAAAAAUGCCUUUGACUCCUUUAAAAAUAUACCCCAACUAUAAAAAUAGCUUGGGCAUCUUUUAACGAAUAAAAUUGAAACCUUUUGAAGAAUAAAACAAAACCCCUUCUAUAAAUAAAAUGAGUCUCUAGUUUUAAGAAUAAACAAAAGGAAAAAAAUAAAGGAAACCCAAGGGCUUGCCCCCCACAUUUAACAAAAAGACUUUUAAAAGAAGACGAAUCUUUUGAGGGGGUUAAAAUUAAAAUCAAUCGCAGCCACAAAAAUAGAAUAGAGAGGAGAGAAGGGUUUUACGUCCUCGGUGCAACAGGGUUUUGAAGUGGCUCUGUUGCACCCACUCUCAUCACUCCAACAAAACAACGCCACUCACAAGCAUUAACACCCAACAACACGGAGCAACAAGCAACACCGACAAAACACAGUUGACAUGAUGCCAUGCAUGAUGCCAUGAUGCGCAAGAUGAAUGCAACAAACAAAACAACCACACGACGGAAACGGAAAUAAAGGGGAAUCUUCUGGAACGUCGGCAUCGGGCUGUCACAACUCUCCUACAUUACAAGAGGAUCUUGCCCCGAGAUCCAAGAAUGAAAGGGGGGNNNNNNNNNNNNNNNNNNNNNNNNNNNNNNNNNNNNNNNNNNNNNNNNNNNNNNNNNNNNNNNNNNNNNNNNNNNNNNNNNNNNNNNNNNNNNNNNNNNNCUCCUCCCCGGUGCGCCUUGGUUAGCCCUCCAGGACCCCGGCCUCCUCCUGCCGAUGCCUUGCUGCCGUGCCUUGCUGCCAUGUUGCUUGUGCUGCUUGCGCUAGCCAUGUCGUGCCAUGCUUGUUGUUUGCCUGCAUGUCGCUGCUGCCGUUUGCUGCUACUGGCAGUUGUUUGGAGAUGCUCUUGCUGCUGUGGCCAGAUGCUGUUGCCAUGUGCCGCUGCCUAUGCCGAGCCCGAUGUGUGCCUGUCUCUGUUGCCUGCGCUUGCCGUUGUCGGCUGAUGCAUGUUGCUGAUGUGUUUGCCUGCUACGAGCUGCUGCUAUUGCUGUCGCCGAUGUGCUGUUGCUGCCUGCCUGCUUGCUAUGCUGUAGCUGCUGUUGUAGCUCGCCGCCGCUGCUUGCCGUAUUGCUAGUUGUUGCUUGCUUUGCUGCUAGCCGAGGCUAGAUGAUGCUAGCUUGCUUGUUGCCGGCUGCUGCUGUAGUAAGCUAGGUAGUUGAUAGUUGCUAGCUGCAGUUGUUGCUUGCUGCUGCUUGCCUGCGUAGCUAGUUGCUAGCUGUUUGCUGCUAGGCUAGUAGCUGCUGCCGAUGCCGAUGCUUGCUAAUAGAUGUUGCUUGCUUGUGAUGCCGCUUGCCGUCGCCGCUUCGACCAUCCCCGACGCUGUGGAAUCAACAAGUUCACUAGUAGCACGACGUCCCCGACGACCCCCGGACAUCUACGAAACCGUGUACGACUACCGACGCCGAAGACCCGUGUACCGACGCCAAGAGUACGACCACCGCCGACAAGACCGCCGUGCACGACUACUUCCACUACGACCACGACUUCCACUAUGACCACGACGAUCUUUGUUCUCCUUCACCGAACCGAACCGCUCCGAUAUGCACGCUUUGAAGGUAUACCGUUGGGACGUGUCGUGUACCGAAUGCAAAUGUUGUAUGAGAUAUAUCGUAUGUUUGCGCCGUAUGUUUGCCCGUUGCACGUUGCCUCUCUUUCGUCGCGCCUUCGACACAUGGGAACACGGUAGCGGGAUCACUCCAUCUUUAUCUAGCGUUCCCGCACACGCUUCCUAUACGUUGGCACGAUAUCUCGACGAGUUAUCGGGAUAGGAAUGUUGUCGUGGCAUCGUUUCCGUUUUGCCGCCAUAGUUCCCUCUCGCUCGCCGUGGCGACACUUGUUUCUUUCUCUUCUUGCCCGUGAUGUUUGAACUUUUGGAUGACGCAUUCAUGGCAUGAUACCUUGUGUUGCAUGUCUCUUGUACGUAGCUCCGUUCUAUGUUUUGCGUGUUAACCAACUAGGAUGACAGGUAGAAUCAUCGCUUCACCCCUUGCCAUGUUAACAACAUUAAAUAUUGCCAUGUAAAUUAACGGGAGUGAACUAAAUAUUUAAUCGUGGAGUUUCGUCGAUAUGCAACUCGUUGCAUAUCGAGCUUCACUUAAUGUGUAGUGUUUGCGUGAGGUGAAUUGCCAUGUCAUGCCUUGCAUCUUUGAACUAAUCAUGCAUCAUAGUAGAUUGUGCAUCAUGUUGUGCAUCGUGUGGUGAAUAUCUGUGUUGAUGUUUGUUUCCUGUUUGCUCCGUCUCGAUAGAGUUCCGCAAGCGUGUCGGAAUGUGAGGACCCGUUCGACUACGUUGGUUCGUCGACUUCACGGAUUUGUUCUUCUUCCAAGCGGGAUAUCAGGCAAGAUGACCAUUUCCCCAGAUACCAUUACUAUCAUUGCCAUGCUAGUUUUACCGUUUCUAUCGAUUAUGUCUCGUUGCCUACCACAUGUUAAAUAGCAGCCUCUCAACAAUUGCAUGAUAACCUUCACCCUGUUCGACCUAGCAAACCACUGAUUGGCUAUGUUACUGCUUGCUUAACCAUGGUGUUAGCAUUGCUAGAUGCAGGUGCCGUUGCUUCCAUGUGAUAACAUGGGUUCCUUGUUGUAUCACUAUGUUAAAUGCUAUUUAAUUUAAUGCACCUAUAUACUUGGUAAAAGGUGGAAGGCUCGGCCUUUCUAGCCUGCUGUUUUGUUCCACCUUUGCCCCUUAGUUUCGGCUACCGGUGUUAUGUUUCAUAUUUGAGCGCUCCUAACACGAUCGGGGUUGUUAUGGGGACCCCCUUGAUAAUUCGUUUUAGAUUAAAGCUGGUCUGGCAAGGCCCAACUUUGGUACUACAUUUGCCUAAUAACUAAUGAACUGCAUAGGGAGUAAUUAACCCGAGGAAAUUUAAUCAACCCCCGGGCCAGUGCUCCUCAUGAGUGUUAGUCCAAAAUGGACAGACUGCGGGGCCACCACGGGGCAACUCGAGGUUUGGUACCUGUAGGCUUUUCCAUCCGCCGUGUCCUGAGAACGAGAUACGUGCCUCCUAUCGGGAUCGUCGACACGUGGGCGGCCUUGUUGGAUUAGUUUUACCUUUGACGGAAUAUCUUGUGCAUCGGGAUCCCGGUGAUGCUUUGGGUAAUCUCAGAGUUGAGGUUUUCCACUAGGGAAUCCGAUGAGAUCGCGAGUUUUGUGAUUGAGGAUUUCUAUGCGGCUUGUGGUAAUUUGUGAUGGACUAGUUGGGGCACCCCUGUAGGGUUAAAUCUUUUCGGAAAGCCGUGCCCGCGGUUAUGUGGCAACGUGGAAACUUUGUUUAACACUGGUUUUAGCUUGUGGCGAGUGUAAGCCAAUUCUGUAUAUAUCUCUUCUUUUCAGUACAUGUACUUGUAACGAUAUCCAUUCUUGCGACACAACGAGAUGCGCUUCUAUCCCUGACAAGGCUCUCGUGCCAAAUUGAGGAUAUGGUCGCAUCUUGGGCGUGACACAACAUCCACGUCAACACCAUCACAACAGCGAGGCAGUUGAGUUGCGCUACACCCAGACACAUCAGCCUGCUAUCCGCCGUGACGUUCGGGUCGACCAGGGGGCGACGGAGCGGUGGCGUGGAUGGCAGCCGGCGGGCGGCAUGGGGGCGACGGAACGACGGCGUGAGGGCCGACAGCGCGACGGGGCGGCGUGGGGCUGUCUCUUAUANUCUAAGAAGGGACGUUAGAGAAGCUACAUUACCCUAACUUGCCUUCUUUCAAUCUAUAUGAUUAUGGCUAAAAUGAUUUAAAUUAGUUUGCAAAUUACAGAUCUACUAUGUACAUUUAUAGUAAUUACAUACAAACAAACUAAUGGUGAAAUAAAAUUAAUUUUAAAUUAUUUAUAUCUGCAGUAAAUAUCAACGGUAAAUAACAUACUAGUAGUCCCUAACUUUCCUUCUGCAUUUUACAUUAGGUUAGCACUGUAGCACGGUGACAUCCCCUAAAAAAAACACGAUGGAGGAAGGCGAAACAAGGCGGCCGGCCAUGGCUUCGCCGGAGUUCGUUGCCGGCGGCGGUAGGCGACUCACGCCUCCCCUCGCUCUCCGCGGAGCACGGCGACGGCACGGCGUCCGACCCGAGUCCGUAAGCGCAUCUUCUUCCAAACCCUUGUUUCUCCCUGGCUGGUCCGGUUGGGUCUAUGGAUCCGAUGCGCGUGCGCGGCGUCGGGAAGGGAGGAUCGAGGAGGGGGUCCUCCCCGAUUAGAGCCCCCUGGCUGGUGUUGUGAGUUCUAGUGUUCUCCUGCAACAUUUGGGAAGGUUUCGUCUUUAUACUAGUAUAUGAGUUUUGUCAGGCUUUUUUUUUAUGUAAAGGGGUUUCUAUGAAUGCGUGUUAAUCAUGCUGGCUGCUUGUUAAUUACGCUUGUUAUAAAGAGUAAUUAGAGUUGACAACACCGAAAUUGGUGCUCUGUUUCAAUUUCGAGGCCUCCUUCCUCACUUGCCUCAUUAUAUAGCCCUGUUUCUGAAUUUUUCUGUUUUAUAACAGACCAAAAGGACUUGAUGUGUUUUGAUUCAUUUGUCAGAAGUAACCUCGCGUGACAUGUUAUAUCAGUUUAUGACAUACACAGCCACUGGGUUCUGGUCUGAAUCGCUUGCUUGCACGGCAGAACCACCUACACCUAUGCUUGGUGUGAAAUCAACCCAUAUAUGCAUCCUGUGUCUAUGCUAUUCUGCCACCAGCACCAGUUGUAUUUAGGAUACAGCAGUUGGCACGAGAUCUGAAGCGGCGUUCUUGGUUUUGCCGUAGGUGCAGUGCAUUGAAGCCGCGAUUGCUGUAGUGAGCUCGUUCCGCCCAUUGCUUGGAGCGUUGGUUCAUCACGUGCUGCUGCUCACAUUCAAAUCUACCAACUCGUCCAUGGCUCCAUCCUUAACUGGGGCUCGGUCUUCUCGCACUCGAGUCAACCCCUCUGUAAUUGCACCAUCACCGCGAAGACCGCGAUACCACCGGCCGACCAGCUUGAGAUCUGAAGGACGAGCUUCGCGCCACCUGAUCUGAACGCUUGCCUGGCAACUACAUUAGUUUAGCUAAUCAGAUCCAUUGAGGGCAGCCACGCCUACUAUUUUUUUCAUAGUUUUAAAUAGCUGGCUAUAGCUUUUUCAGCAGGUGCCGUUAAAUGGUAUCAUGUACAAAUAGACCGCUAUAGCUGAUUUAGAGGCCCACCGCUAUGACCCGCUAUAGCUGAUUUAGAUGCCCGCCGCUAUUUGCCAUAAGACGCUAUUUAAAACAUUGAUUUUUUUACUUAGACAAACUUGAGUGACCACAUUAGUUUUGCCCAAGCCAAAUUCAGUAACACAAUCAGCGAUUCUUAAAAACAGAAGUAAUACAAGCAGCGGUUUCCAAUGGCCACAGGAAUCGACCAUGUCCACAAGAUGGGCAGGCAGGGCUGCGGCACAUGGGUUCAAUUAUUCGCAGUGUAGCCAGCUGGGAGUCUCCGUCUCCAAAACCCAGCAACCACAUUGCUUCCCAAUGGCACCUAAAAUUAUGAGAUCCAACACCAGAUCUGAAGCCAGGUCAAGAUUUUAAUUUCACGCCACCGAGCACUUAAUUAGUUGGCAGUGAUUCUUUUUGUUCGAUCCCAUCCGUGGGGUUGACUUAACAUUUUUUUACCAGUACGGUUGCAUUAUUCAAUAGGACUAUAUGGGAGUGACUUGACAUUUUGUUUACCAGUUUACUUGAAGGACGUAAUAUUUCAUAUUUCCAUGUCACCGUUCUAGUGCCAUGAUUGUAAGCCACAACUAUCUACCGGUAAACCAAGUUAGCUGGCAGGGUGAGACUAUGUCGGCAUAGUAUCCCUCCAAUCUCUACUUCCCAUGGUGGCAUCUUCGAUAGGGAGGUGGAUUUUCGUCCCUAGUUCUGUUCCUGGGCCUGGAUGGGGAUAUUCGGUGUUCCUGGCUGCCGUCUUUCCCUGUAUUCUGUGCUUUGCUUUAUUGAUGCAUGUUGUUUUCCAUUGCUUCCUUUUUGUUUCCACAAGGCAUUCUUCUGUUAGGUUCUACUAUUCAUCGGAAUAACGGAACAGAACACCGUUUGGUCUAAAAUCCAUGGUUUGAGCUUCCUGUUGUCUCCUGUUCGUUGUCUUGUACCUUCCUCUGAGAGUCAACUCUGCCAUUGCCAACCACGAGAUGAGUAAAGUAACCAGGCAGGGAAGGGAGACUCCAAAGUCUGGCGUCAUUGUUUAUAAUUCGCUGAUGCUAACCACGUUCAUUCACAUGCAUCAUCGCCGUGAAGAUAUGUGAGAUCUGAAGCUUACUUAGUCGCCUCACAAGAUGCUUAGAAGGCUUCGCUAAUUUAAGUCCCAUUAUUUCCGUUGUUGACAUUGCCGCACUUAUAGCUGCCGAUCAUCUCUCUGUAAUCUUAAGAGAAAAAUACUCGUAUCUGUACAUAUCAUCCCUCGUACUAUUUAUCACCAGCUCUACUUUUUUGAAUUAGUCCCAGUGGUGGUUUAAUCUCUUGAGAUUUCACUCACUGUCAAACUUUGGGUGUACAUCUACCAUUGCUUUUAGCAUCAAUUGACAAUGGGAGCAUAAACAUAGCAACUGGACUAAAGUAACACUAACACUUCGGCACUGCCCGUUGGAACUGGAAUGCUCACAUGCCUUCUCCGUUCAGACCGGGAAGGAAUCCCAGAAAAACAAGGCCUUACCACGAGAUGAGUGAAGUAAGCGGCUCAAGACUGAAUGGGGGACUUGGUGCAAGAUUUGAAGGUGAGUUUUCGUUUUCUAUUUCGCGGCACCGGGUUCUUAAUUAGCUGACAACUUUUGUAAUGUUAAGUUCCAUCCAUAUCCGCUGGGGACAUUGCACACUUGCAGCCGCUAGUCAACACUUCUAGUACUCACCAUCAACUCCCCUCACACAUCUGCCAUUGAUCCAUCCUUAGCUGUGCUUCCCAGCUCUAUCUUUUCUUUUUUCGAGAUGAACACCUGCUCUCUCAGAAUCUGUCCCAACUGGUGGUUUUACUCAGUCCAAACUCGGGUGUACACAUGCCAUCACCUUCAGCAACAAUUGACAACAGAAGCAUGACAGUAGUAAUUGAAUCAAAGUAAAGACUCACUUUGCUUUUGCUCUAGGCUGUCAUACAUGUAAAUGAAGUCCCAUAAAUAGUCGCACAAACCAUCAUCUACCGAGGAACAUCAUUGCUAAUACGUCGCCAGUACAAGGUUCCAUGUUGUUUAGCGAACUUGGCUGACGAACACGUCUUCUCCAGGCUACGCCAUGCAUGGGGCCAGUAAUGCAAGCAACUCAACAAAUUAACUUCCAGCGCUCCCUUUUUUUUGGAAAUAGCAGUACUCUGUUGUUGAUGCAUGUAGCAGCGCCAGCCAUGGGACCCUAGCCUGUGAUUAGUUACUUGGGCCCUGUUUGUUUCAGAAGUCCCGAGACUUUUUUUAGUCCCAACUUAAAAGUCCCUAGUCCCUACCGUUUGUUUUCAGGAACUAAAUAGGGACUAGAGGUCAUUAAAUGACAUGCAAAAAGACCAUGUUACCCUUAGUAAUGUAGUAGUAGUUAUUAAAUGACAUGCUAAAAGUAAGGGCAUUGUUGGAAAAAGUGCCAAAAAAGUCCAAAAAGACCCUCCCAUAGGAGCUUCUCCAAAUAGUCCCAAAUACCCCCUUUUAGUCCCUAAAAGUUCCUCCUGUUUGUUUCACAUGGGACUUUUUGGGAUUUUUUUUAGUCCCUACACCAAAAAGUUCCUGGAAACAAACACCCCCUUACUUCCCAUGAUCCCCAUUGGCACUAAAACCAGGAAACCCAACGCGAUCUGAACCCAAGUCUCGAUUUAAUUUCGCACCACCGAGUGAUUAGUUAAUUGGCAACGAUUAUUUUAGUUGAUCCCACUCAUCGAAAUGACUUGACUUGACUUGACUUGACGCACUCAUGUCCUUAUAUCUCCCCUCCUCCUGCAUGUAUCUCCCAUCCUACACAUCACACUGCAGUUUGCACAUCAAAACCCUCUCUGGCAUUGCUCCCUCCGUUGCAUCACAUCGCCUGCCUUCACGGCAAGGGAGUUCAUACUUCAUACCGGUGAGUAAAUUGUUCUUCCUAAUUACUCUAGCAGCAGCAUGUGAUAUAUCAGCAUAACUUGGGACUAACUGCUUGUGCUAAUGGUUUGCAGCGUGACAACCGAUGGACGUUGCCGUCAGUGCGGCAUGGUGGGUGGUAGGCAAGGCACUGGGCCCCGUCUCAGAUGGCUUCCUGGAGGCUUGGGCGGCUAGCAAGGAUCUCGGCCCCAACGUUGACACACUCAAGAUGGAGCUGUUGUACGUGCAAGGGAUGCUCAACAACACCCGUGGCAGGGAGAUCGACAACCCGGCCCUGAAUGAGCUACUGCAAAAGCUGAGGCAGCUAGCAUACGGGGCCGAGGAUGUCUUGGACGAGCUGGAUUACUUCCGCAUCCAGGACAGCCUUUACAGCACCAGUGAGGCUGCUGACGAGCAUGCCAAGGGUUGCGUAUGCAACCUCUUCCUCAACGCUCAUCACACCGCCAAAGCUGUUGGCAAACUGCUUGGGUGCUCUGCUAACCCUCGUGAUCCUGGGGAACCGAGAUUAGAGGAAGAUACAAGGCAGCAAGUUCGCUGCUGCACUUGGCCAUGUGCCCGGAGAACUGCAAGUGCCAAUACCUCUUUGGUACCAAACACAGACCAAGCUGAUGGGGAGGCCAGCGGAUGCAUUCACAAGCUUGCUCGCAACACCGUGCGUACUGUCGGUAAACUCUUCCCUUGCUCAUCCUUCCCACAGGUUGAUGAUGAUGUUUCUGGCAAGUCAAUCCUUUGCGGUGCCUGCAUACGCAAGGCACCACAGCAAAAGCAUGCGAAAGAUGCACCAAAAUUAGAGUUUGAUAGGGUGGAUCUGUCUAAAAGAAUGAAGCAUAUUGUUGAGCAACUGCAGCCCUUGUGUGCAAAGGUUAUAGCCAUUCUUAAUCUAGAGCUAUUGGGUUCUAGUCAUACUACCAUCACAGACAUUCCCAAGAGUCCUUCCACCAGCACCUCUAACAUUAUAGAAUCAACACUGUACGGGAGGGACCCUGCAAAGAAGAGAAUCAUAGAUAGUAUCACUCAUGAUAAAUAUAGUGGCGAGAACCUAACUAUCCUGCCGAUUGUUGGUCCGGGUGGCAUAGGGAAGACAACUCUUAUACAGCACAUAUAUAACAGCCAAGAAGUGAAAACACAUUUUCAGAUCAAGAUCUGGAUAUGUGUGUCCCAGAACUUCAUUGUUAAUAAGCUGAUUGAAGAGAUUGAAAAAGCUAUACCUAGUGUGGAAGGUGAAAAAAAGGGUAGAGCAGAAGAGCUGAUUGAACAAAGAUUAAAUUCCAAAAGCCUUUUGCUUAUAUUAGAUGAUAUAUGGAAGUGUGAAUCUGAUGACUGGAAACGGCUUUUAGCACCACUCACAAAAGGACAGGCAAAGGGUAACGUAAUCCUAGUUACAACUCGGUUUCCAGCUGUAGCAGAAAUGGUUAAAACAACUGAUAGUUCAAUAGAUCUGGAGGGUUUAGAACACGGAGAGUUUAGGAAAUUUUUCCGUGCAUGCAUAUUUGGUGAUGAGAAAUCACAAAACGAUCAUGAUGGGUUACUUAAGAUUGGAGAUAGGAUUGCAGAUAAGCUAAAGGGGUCCCCUCUUGCAGCAAAAACUGUAGGUAGAUUAUUGAGGAAUCACCUUGAUGUGCAUCAUUGGACAAGAGUCCUAGAAAGUAGAGAAUGGGAAAUGCAGACCGGUGAGGAUAACAUUAUGCCUGCACUGAAACUUAGCUAUGAUUAUCUACCUUAUCAUCUGCGGCAAUGUUUUUCUAGUUGUGGUCUGUUUCCUGAAGACUACAAGUUUCACAGUGAAGAACUCAUUCAUUUCUGGAUAGGACUAGAUAUUUUAAAUCCUGGUGGUCGAAAUAAAACAAUUGAAGAUGUAGGUCAGGACAAUCUAAAUGAUUUGGUGAACAGUGGAUUUUUCAAAAAAGAUGAAACCGAGGGGCAUUAUAUCAUCCAUGAUCUGUUGCAUGAUUUAGCUUUAAAAGUUGCAUCUCAUGAAUAUCUUAGUUUGGAUCACUGCAGUGUGAGAUCAAUAGAAAUUCGGCCAUCUAUCCGUCACUUGUCGAUCGUAAUAGAUGGUCCAGAUGAUAGUAAUGGGAUAACUGAUGACAAAUUUAAGAGUGAGUUAAGGAAACUUAAGGCAAAAUUGAAGGUUGAAAACUUGCAAACAUUAAUUAUAUUUGGAGAAGGAGACAAAAGUUCUGUCAACAUUUUGGGUGAUCUGUUCAUGGAAGCAAAUGCUCUCCGUGUUCUUUGUUUGCCCACAUUAUCAUACCCCUUGGAAUCCAUGUUGCAUAACUUUUCAUCACUUCUGCACCUACGAUACCUAAAGCUAGGUACUUCUAUGAGCCAUAUGCAUUUACCAACGACUUUAUCUAGAUGUUAUCAUUUGAAGAUUUUGGAUCUACAGAAAUGGGAUGGUUCUUUUGUGUUACCUAGAGACAUGAGUAACCUUGCAAAACUAUGCCAUUUUCUCGCCCAAAAUGAUAAGCUUCUUUCGGGUAUUUAUAACGUGGGGAAACUAAAACUCUUACAGGAGUUAAAGGCUUUUCCAGUCAAGAAGGAAAUCGAAGGGUUUGAACUCAAUCAACUAGAGCAUCUGACCGAGCUAAGGGAAGUUAGCAUUUAUAACCUUGAGAAGAUACACACGAAAGAAGAAGCGGUUCAAGCAAAACUAAUACAGAAAGACUACUUGCACAAAUUAACACUAGAUUGGGACAGGGAGCGACCUAAUAGUGAGCCUGGCGCGGAUGUAGUGGUUCUUGAGAGCCUUCAACCACAUAGAAAUCUUCAGGAGCUGAGAAUUACUGGACACCGUGGCCCUUCUUGUCCAACAUGGCUAGGUGAUAACCUUGUUGUUCAGACUCUACAAUCUCUCUCUCUUCUCAGUUUCUUGGGAUAUUUUUCCUUCAUUUGGGAAGAUGUGGAAUCUUCGUGAGCUAGUAUUGUUGAAUAUUUCCACAAUAAAGGAGUUUGGUCUAGUGCAAAGCUUUUGCAAGUUAGUAAAGAAGAUUACAUUGACCGGCUUAGAAAAUUUUGAAAAAUGGGCACCACAGCCCACUCAUUACUUCCCUCACUUGCAAGUACUGAUUAUCGUAGAUUGCCCUAAACUCUCAGAGUUGCCAUUUUCAAGCCACAUUGUUUACCCACUGAAACAAGACUGGAACAUAGAUUGGUUUCCCAAACUACAAGAGCUUACGAUGGAAAAUUGCCCUGAAGUCUUGCUGCUGCCUCCUAUCCCAUGGACCCAAUCUCUAUGCUCUGUCGAGAUACGUGACGUGGGAUCAAAAUUACUGGACAAGUUGGUGUACUCAAAAUCAUCUUCUGGGGUAGGGCUGGAAGUUAAUGCAAAGGAUGGUCUGCAUAGCUUAGAUCAGUUGUUACUAUUCAGUCAACUAGCCGAGCUUCAGGGGUUGAUGAUCAAAAAUUGCCCACCUUUGGAGCUGAAGUAUUUUCUAAUGCUAACCUCAUUGAAGACAUUGUGGGCAUGGUCUUCAAAUCUUGGGGUGGUGGCAUCAGAAGUUCAGACUUGUGUAGAAUGGCAGCAUCCUAUCGAGUCCAUUGAAAUUCGGACAUCUAGUUCUUGUGGAAAGGAAUUGACACAUUUCCUAUCUCACCUCCCAAAGCUAUUCAAACUGGAAGUAUAUCGUUGUGGAAACAUAACACAGUUGGCUGUGGGGGUGGAUUUGCAGCAAACAACAGUACCAGUAGUGUCAUCGUCAACCUCUUUAGAUGUUAUUACAAUGGAUGAUACACAAGUGAAAGAUGAGCAGCAAGAAAUAGCAGAGGUGGAGAAGGAGGAGGCAAACACGGUGGAUGAUGAUGGGCUGUUGCUCCUCCCUGCACAUCUCUCCAACUCUCUGCAGACGUUGUUCAUCAACUCCCUCGAAGCCCUCCAAGCCCUAACUAGACUUCAUUUAGAAUAUUGCUCUUUUCGCCACCCUUUCCCGUCCUCCCUGCUACACCUGAAACUUUCGUCCGUGAAGGGCGUGCUGACCUUUCAAAUCUCACCUCUCUCACACGAUUAGAAAUAUAUCGUUGCGGAGAGGAUUUUAGAUGCAAGGGCCUGUUGCCUCUCCUUACUCGGGGCCAGCUCAGCAGUUUAGAAGUCAAUGGAAGCCCCAGUUUCUUUGGUGGGUGGGAGUGGGAUCCCAAUGCCAUGCGGGGGAGGUCCUCCAAACUGCAGGAGGUCGAGACAGAUGACAUCCAGGGCUUCCUCGGUGCGCCCGCCCUCUGUAGCCUCCUCUCUUCCUCCCUCAGCGACUUGCACUUUAGUUGGAACGAUGAGACAGCGCACUUCACAAACGAGCAGGAGGAGGCCUUUCAAUGCCUCACCUCGCUCCAGGUACUCUGGUUUUUGUGUUGUGAUAAGCUGGAACAACUCCCUGCCGCGCUAAACAAGCUGACCAACCUCAAGAGAUUAGUAAUCUUCCGGUGUCCAGCCCUCCGGUCGCUGCCCAAGGGCGGCCUCCUGAGUUCACUGUGAGAAUUAGAUGUCAAAGGGUGCGACAACGAGGAGCUAACAGAGCACUGCAGGCGGUUAAUUGGAACCAUCCCGGAAAUCAAACUAUAGACCAAUGGGCGGACACGGUCCGGGCCGGUCCGGUCCCGGUCCAAGCCGUCGUUUGGACCGGCUGUCGGCGGUACGGUCUGGACCGGGACCGAGCAGGCUGGCGGUCCUCUGGUCAGGGACCGCAUCAACGAGGCAAAAGCCCGGGCCGGACCGGCGGACCGGCAAAUAACUCACCGGCGGCGAGGUGAUGACCAUGGCGUCGGCUAGCGAAGGCUCUAAGCCGUAAUCAGAAGCGGGGACAAAGGGAGAAGUUGCGGUAAGUCAUGUAGAGUUCGAUAGUGAGGUCGGGGAGGCCGGGGAAGUAGCGACGGCGACGCAAUCGACGACGAACGACGACAGCUGGAGCUGGAGAUGGAGCAUGAUGGCGACUGAUUCGUGUCGAAUCCGGUCGAUUCGUUGCGAGGGGAAGGAGAUCUCAUGAUUGCGAAGCUCCUGGAAAUGGUGGUUCGUCAUGGAGAUGCCGGUGACCGCGUCCGCAAGAGCUUGUGCGUUGAACGGUGGCGGCCGCGGCACAGGUACGUGUCCCCCGCCACACCUCCAGCAGUACGCCCCUGCCAUGCCCCCCAUGCUCGUGCCGUCCAGGCUGAGACCAAUCCAAGGUAACAGAUACUUCCUUGCCCGUGCCAAUUCCUUAUUUCCAUAAAUACUCCUUUUUUUUCUGAUCACACACACAUGCCAGCUCGUUUUUCUUUUGGUGUGGUGUACCUCGUUACUGUGUAUCCUGAACAUCGUUUGUCUCCGUCGGCUGUGCAGCUGGUCUCUCCGUCUUGGAGUUGUACAUUCUUCUAGCCUUGUGGAAUUAUAUAUCCGCAUCUAUGGACAGUUGGCUUAUGUGAGGUCCUGUGGUAAUUUUUCAUGUCAAUACAUCUGGUAAGUAGAUGCAAAUUGUCUGAAAAGUAUCUAUAGUUAUCUGUCUGAUAAAAAUUGCCCCCAGUUAUCUUGAGCGCAUGAUUUUUAUUAAUAUACGAGUAUGUGAUUAACAAUUGGAGGGCUUGUCUAUUCAACUGGAAAAUUAGUACCAUUAUGCUUGUGUAAAUUGGUCGGUACACCAAAUACGAGAGUGUGUUCCUACCAGAAUAAAUACACAAAAGUGAGAUUUUAUUUUUUCAUUCGUCUGUGCAAAAUUAACCUUGUUAGCCUGAUCUAAGGAUAGUGUAUGUGUUUGUAUCUCUCCAGAGAUCAUCGAAAAUUUUAAUUAUUCACAAAACGUACCUUGUUUCUGUUUGGCAUAGCACAGGACUAGUUAUUUUUUCCCUCAGAUUCACCGUUUGUUUUUUUCUGCAGGUUUCCUUGUAUUUUUCAAGGAAACAAGUGAAGGGAGAAGAGGAAGUCCCAUUUCUUCAUCAAGUCGACGGACAGUCACGCAAGGUUGAACAUGAAAUGUGUACAAUCUUUUCAGUUUUUUAGAGAGCAGCAGUUUCAGAGCAAUGCAAUUUUGAAAAAGGGCCAUUUGAAUUGUGAAAACAGUGCUACCAUGGAACAUUGAUAGGUUGUACAGCACCGAUGCUCUCAGUGCUUGUUUUGGCAUUGAUUUGCGAGAACUAAGCACCAUGUUGCAUCAUCGAGGAGCUACAACAACAGUUAAUCAGGAACUAUCCUGAAAGUCGUACUAGAGCACUAGACUAAUCCAAGGUAAAAAGAAAGCUUCCCUGUCUGCUCAUCCAAACACCACAUUACCUUGCUUUUUCUUGAUCUCGCAUCAAUUCAUAUUUUGGAUCGGUUUACCUCAUUACUGCAAAAUCUUAACAUUGUUCUUCGAUCUACUUUACAGGUUCUCUUGCGACUUUGGAGUUGUACAUUUUUAACCUUGUCGAAUCCUCCCUGUGUUUAUGCAAAGUUCGUACAUGGGGAUCUUGUGUGGCAUCUUCUGACUGUACAUCAUGCAUAAAUCUGGUAAGUACGUGUUAAACUCCUCCAACCAUAUUACAGAUACGGUGAUACCUAGAUGUUUUCUCUUGAACUGUGAAAUAUCAAGAAAACCAACGUGGUCGUCAGUUAACGCUAUUUCAGAAUUUCCGUCUCUUCCUUCAUGGACGAAAUUUAUCAUGCAUUCAGCAUUUUAUUUGUUUCUUGUGCAGGUGUUGUCAUGCUUGCUCUGGUUGGUUCAGAGAUACUUUGCAGUUACAUUUUGAUGGUCACUCAACAACACUGGCUGGUGUACUUAGCUUAUUUGGCUGUGAGGAUCAUAAUGGUGGUAUAUUGCUGAUUUGCUACUGAAUAUCAGGUUUGCAGUUUUUUCAGUUCGGUAUUACAUUGAUACCGAUUCAAGUUGUUCUUGCAUUCGUCAUAGUUAUUGUUGCUUAAUGAAAAUUUGGUAAUUACAGGACCUUACAAGAAUACCCUUCAUACCAUCAUAGUGCUUGCGUCUUGAGAUCUCAGGCUGUCAUUAAUUGGUAUGCCCAAUGUUGCAUAUCCGCACCCAUAUAAAAGUCUAAAAGGUUACUCGUGUAUUUAUCUUAAGUUUCAAACUUUUAUACUGAACUAAGCUUCUUGGUUGCUUGAUAGAUGUGGCCUGUGGACAAGUUUGGAAUUCAACAAUUAAGUAGUAGCAGAUCUGUGCAAAGGUUAGUAAACCCCGUGCUGAAAUUCACGAUCGCUUUAGCUAUGAUAGGUUGUAUUCAAAGUGUGGAAUUGUCAAACUCUUAUUACCUCAUGAGACCAAGGUUAGAGAACUUGUUGCUUUCCUGAUAAGUUGGCAGUCUAGCUUUUGAGCACGCUCAUAAUAUCUGAAUUCAUUGUCAUGCUGAAUUAAAUAACGCCAGAGAGUUUUCAGCUGAUACAUAUAGUUGUAAAGCUAGAGAACACUUGUUACUAGGUGAUUGAUGAACAUUGAUUGAGCAAAGAGACUUGAGCUUGCUAAUUUUAUUCAUAGAACCUGUUGAGUUGAGUAGGGUGAAGGUGAUUUUAUUCUCUUCUUGAUUUGGAGUAAUUUUUUUCUAUCCCACCAAUACCAAAAACAUAGCAGAUUUCAUGAGCCUUGACUAUUGCAAUUUGAAUAUUUAGUGCGUAUUGUUAAGUUUGAUGUUCCUCUAGUCUGAAGUCUUUCAAAGCCAGUCAUUCUCUUCGCGUAACUUCACAUUUUCUAGCCUGUUCGACACUCGGCAUUGCAUUCCUUCAUAAGGAUAUCACGAACAUUGCCGGCCUACAUAUACAAAUCCCGGAAAUUAUACCGUUGCCUUCCAUUUGUUCACACCAUACCUACCUAUAUAUAUAGUGCAUCACUCCGCGCUUGGUAUUCCAUAGUAGUUGAUUAUUCCAUGAGCACAGUCAUCGAAGUUCGAGAAGACUCUAAAGCGCUUUAUUGUCAUCAACCCUGCAAAAUUCAUUGUUAUGAAGAGCUAUAUUCAUCAGCAUUGAUGCAUCUCUUAGAUACAAAUGAAAAAAAAGAAAUAAAGAAAAAGAGAGAUGAGCAGCAUGCAAAAGAUCAAAGAGUUCAUUCUCAAGCAGGACAAAAUAGCCAGCAGCACUUCCAUAUUCAUCUUCAGAUUAAUCAAACUACUUCCUAUGCAUAUCGAUAAUGGGAACAUUACUCACAUCCUGGGAUCACCAUGCAUUCCAUAGGCCUCUCAAAUCAUUUCUUUGGUGUGACUCCAUUCCCUCCCACAUACCCUGAGACUACCUUUUCCAGUGACUGGAAUGUGAAGACUUCUUUGUACUGGAGUUGAACUCUUAUUUAGCUUUACAAUCUAGAUUUCAGAUUUGCUCAUUUUAUCGAAUUACCUUACCAAGCUCCAGAUAAGCUUUCUACGAAUAUAAAGUAGAUAGGGAAUACUUGGGCUACUGACCAGUGAGGACUAUAAUAAAGUGAUGAGAGUAAUUCCAGAUCAUGACGAGGUAAUCUCACUAGAUACCUGCUCUUGGAAGGUUCACAAAAGAAUAAAAUUGUUGGCUACUCCUGUUUCCUUUUGGUCUUGACAUUGAAGUCAAACAACCAAGUGAUUUGUGUUCAAAAACUGUUAUAGCUAUAUUGUUGAUGCUGGUUACUCUCAAAAAAUGAAAUCCAUUCCUUACUGGCAAUGAAUAAGAGUAGUUAUUUAAGUGUGUGCUCAAUCGCUAGCUUGCUACUUUGAUAAGUUUGUGGGAAGUGUCUCUGUCUGAAGCUCAUGAGGAUUAUAGUAAUUGUUCGCACAUGAGCAUUUGUUUGCGAUCUAGCUAUGCUAAGCUUUCAGGUAUUUCACAAGCACGUGGGCAAGUUGAAUCAGGAGCCUAAAUCAUCUGGAUGUGAUCUGAGAAUCUUUUUCUUGAGGGAAGAAUCAGAAAGGGAGAAGCCUGAGAUGAAUCAUACAUUUUGUUUCUAUUUGUAGCCACUUUCUCCCUAAUAAUGCUAUAAGGAAGAGAGAAUUAUUUUUUCGAACCUACUAUUUCCCUCUAGUAGCUUCAAGCUGUAGCAGGUUUCGAUGGGUGGUACAAAAACAUGCCAAAAAAAUACAUUUGUUUCCUCAGUGUGGAUGACGUAUAUUCAGUUAAAUGAAAUGCAGUUCUUUGCAACAGUAUCUUCAUAUCUGAACCUAUGUUUGGGUGUUAAUUAUUUGGUUGCCUGUGCUAAAGCAUGAUUAAAUAAAUUCAAUGCAAUGGUUGACUGCAGAAUCUUCCUGAUUGCCAUUUGAUAUUCAUCAAUUGGCGAUGGUGACUAAAGUAAUUGUUGCCAUCUUGGUUUCUAUUUUUGGAGAAAAGAAAAUCCUGCGAUUUAUGUUUACUACACAAGAUUUGAACGCAAAAGAUACACAACCAUGAUCUGGAGUCUGGACACACUACAACUAUUGCCUGUCUUGUCCAGGUAUGAUCCGGGGAGAUUUGGGUUUGUUUUUGGGCCCUUACUGAAGAAGUAGCAUCCUAGGAGUAGGGAUGGUUCAUCAGUGAGCAUUCAUUCGAACAAGCAAACUCUACUAACCACGCGCUAGAUCUGAGCUAAGUCUCCCAUUGUCAGUUUCGUGAUGUACAUCUGCUCUGCUUCCUCUGUCUAUGCGUCCGUGCUGCCGACGCUGCCACUGUCACUAAACCAUGUCUCUUCGAAAGAGAUCUGAAGCGAAGCCGCGACAUCGACACUGGCAGAUUUUUUUUGAUAAAUGAAGCUUUUAUUGAAGUCAGAUCAUUACAUCAACAUGAUACGUACAAUCAUGCUGGGAUCACUCCCGGCCGAUGCACACAGCCCACACACACAAGAGCUUUAUAACAAGUGGAAUAACAGAAAAAUGCUAUGGAUCGUCAAUCAUUAGACUAGACCGUCACCCAUCCUCCUGUGUAAAACACUCCCUAAUCACCCGCUUCAAAUGUUGACACGCCGCUGCAACUAACUCCUGAGAACCCGACUUCUAUAGAAUAGCACAGGUACGGAGCCAGUGGGUAACUGAAUAAAUAACCUGUAGUGGAGAUGAAUAUUUUAUUCUUGUUAAAAAACACAUCAUUCCUGCAUAACCAAAGCGACCAACAAGUAGCGCCCGCGCCUAACAUGACUUGUUGUUUUAGGUCAUUCCUUAUGCCUCGUAUCCAACCACUAAAUAUAUGUGACAUACUUUGAGCUGAGAACAACCUGAAGCCGCUUGUAUAAUAGACUAGACGGCCCGUGCAAAACGACAUUCAAAGAAAAGGUGUCGGAUAAUCUCAUCUUUGUGACAAAAGCAACUAUUUUUACUGCCUUGCCAAUUAUGUUUAGCCAAGUUAUUCCUUCACACCUGCACAUUUAGCUUUACAAUCUAGAUUUAAGAUCUGCUCUUUCUUUUUUUACCUUACCAAGCUCCAGAUGAGCCUUUCCACAGAUAUAAAGCAGACGGGAAACACUUCUGCCAUUUCUAAGUGAGGACGACUACCAUUAUGCGAUGAGCGUAAUUUAGGAAUGACGACAUGUUCUUGGAAGGUUAGAGAAGGAAUAAAAUUGUUGGAUGAUCUUGUUUUCUUUUGUUUUUGACACUAAAGCCAAACAACCUAGUGACAUAGCGUUUGAAUACUUUGAUCGCUGUAUUUUUUAUGUUAUUCACUCCCACAAAACUGAAACCCGUCCUCAGAACUCUCGGGUUCCCUCAUGGCAAUGAAUGAAGUUGUCAUUUAAGCUUGUGCUCGAUUGCUAGAUUGCUACUUUGAUAAGUUUGUGGCAUGUUCCUCUGUCCCAAGUCUAUGAGGACUAUAAUAAUAGUUUGCACAUGAGCACUUGUUUGCAGUCUCUCCAUGCUAAGCUUUCAGGAAUUGUAGAAGUAAAUGGGCGCUUUGCUUCAGCAGCUAGCGCGGGUCCCGUGAAGAAAUUUGGUCUGCCAUUGCAAUGCACCGCGGUCGCAGAUGCUGUUUUCCCCUUGAGUGGGGAGUCGGUAAGGGAGGAAGAAGGCUGAGAUAAAUCAUAGCCCUGUAUCUCCAUUUGUAGCAAUGAUGUAUAGUGAAGAAAGAAUGUGCAAUGCUCCCACGUGUUUUUUGUCCAUUAUUUUUUACUAGCUAGCUUCUGUAGUACCUGGCCUAUGAAUGAAUUGUACUAAAACGGAUCAAUCUUUUGAUUCACUAUUGUCAGUAUGGACAUCUAUUUUCAUCGUCCACAAUACCAUCGUAUCUCGACCUGCUGACUGCUGUGUUGUUGGAUUUGGAUGUCACUCUGACUGGUUGCUUGUUCAUGUGGACUGAAAGAGGAUUAAAAAUGUUUACAAUCACAGAGAGAAAUGGAAAAGAGUAGAACGACACAGGCGAAUGAAAACAAGAGCUGGUCUCUCUGUUUUUAGAAGAAAAAAAAGAGAUCUCAUGUGGACUCGGUAGCCAAUCUUGGGCUGUUAUCCGUGGGCCUGACUUACGGAUCUGGGCCCUGCAGGGCUAUUCGGGCUCUUAGUUGGUCCUGUGAUCGUUUCCCUUGGAAAGAAAAAAAAAACCUCCAGUCGUCGCCGGUGACGAGGUCCACACAAACACAAGGCGGCGGCCGACCAUGGAUUUGCCCGAGAUCGCCGCCGGCGACGGAAGCUAUGACCUCUGGAUGCUGCCUCCGCUCGCUCUCCGCCGUGAUCUCCGCACGCGACGCCAGGCGGUAAGCCCUCCUUCUCUUCCUGGCCGGCGCACGGCACGGACGCGUUGGUUUUUCUUGUGUCGCGUUCGAUCGAUUCGAUGCGCUGGCAACUGGCAUGAAGCCGGUGGAUAUGCGUCGGUCCUAGUUCAUGCGAGCCUGUAGUUACUUGUUCUGCAACAUCUGGGAAGGAUUCCUCAGUUCCGUCAGGGUUUCGAUUCAGACUGCCCGUGUGUGCAUGCUUUUAUGGAAAGAACAACAGACUCUCGAUAGUAGCAGUAUUGCAGUAAAGCCCAUUAUUUGCCCCUGCCAGUGACCAAAUCAAAGAAUCGCCUCAGCCUCGGACUUGAUCCUUUCUUGUCCUAAAACAAGAAUCAAGCAGAGGCACAUGCCGUGCCAGACAAGGUGUUCUAAAACUGAAGCUGCACAUAAAAGGUGACUCACAUCACCUUCACCAUCAGCACUGUCACUCGAUUCCUUGUGAUGGUUACCCCUUGCCCACUAAUUCCUUUCCUCUGUUUACAAAAAGGCAUUCUACCGGAGGCCAGCAAGCUUAUAUGUAUAAAUGCUUUGCUUCAUCACCCCACAAAAAGUGAAACAGAAUACGUGUUGCCUUUGUUUUCCUGCCUUGGAGUGUUUGCACCAACUUAGGAUCAGCAAAGCAUCAAUAACUCUCACUGUUUGCAUAACACGAAUUUUAUCAGCUCACUGCUAGCUGCCGGUCGAUGAUGGAUUAAUUAAUUACCCCAUUACUGUCGAAUUCCAGUUGAUGAUCGACGGCAUUAUUUUCUAAUUCUGUGAAUCUUAGAAACAGGUUUGAUCUUUGAUGUACCCAGCAGUGGGCACUAUACAUGUUGUGUAGUAUUGGUGGUGCCCGAUUUAAUAAUGCAAGUCUUUGCUUGCUCUUCCAGUUUCGCAUACGUAAAUUUGAAGCUUCUUGCACCUAUAAAUAUCACCCCCAAGCUUCUUGCACCUAUAAAUAUCACCUCCCAAGCUUCUUGCAUUUCCGCGCCAUCUACCCUCUCUGGUAACAACACUUUGCAGUGCAGUGUGGCAGACCUCCGGUUCUCCUCUUCUGUUGUGAUGAACGCUCGAGCCUAUAUAUAGCCUCCCUUCUAAAACGCACAACUCCCCCCACCCCACCACCACNNNNNNNNNNNNNNNNNNNNNNNNNNNNNNNNNNNNNNNNNNNNNNNNNNNNNNNNNNNNNNNNNNNNNNNNNNNNNNNNNNNNNNNNNNNNNNNNNNNNNNNNNNNNNNNNNNNNNNNNNNNNNNNNNNNNNNNNNNNNNNNNNNNNNNNNNNNNNNNNNNNNNNNNNNNNNNNNNNNNNNNNNNNNNNNNNNNNNNNNNNNNNNNNNNNNACACACACACAUACACACAUCUGCCAUCCAUCUCCCCAAACCCUCUCCGGCUCUCUGCCAGUACGUGAACUCAGCUGUGAAGACAUUCUACGUUCUUACCGUUGGCGACCACCGCCGAACCCUCCCGCCGGGUGCCGACCCAGCACGCGGAAGCGGAAGUGUAUGGAUGCCGUUUUAAUUUGUUUUCUCUGGCAGCGGAGAUUAAAUAUUAAUUAAUCCAUAUUACAGGUCUGGUUACGGCGACUAACUGCAUUUGCAAAUGAAUUCAUCUUACUGAAUGCAGCAUACGUGAAGAGAUCGUUACUGGUACCACCUGUGCGGGCGUGAGGGAUGAAUCUGGCCCUUAACGCGGCGCAGUGGGUGGUUGGCAAGGCGCUUGCACCCGUUGCGGAUGGCUUGCUCGAGGCUUGGGCUGCCAGCAACCAGCUCGGCCCCAACAUGGAGGCCCUCAGAAUGGAGCUGCUGCUCGUGAAGGCCACGCUGGAAAAUGCAGGUGACAAGCAGCUCGACGGCCACCAAGCCCUCGAGGAGCUGCUGCAGAAGAUGCAGGACUUGGCUCAUAAUGCUGAGGACGUGCUUGACGAGCUGGAUUAUUUCCGCAUCCACGACGAGCUCAAUGGCACCUGUGACGCUGCCAACGAGGACGCCAGAGGUUGUGGCCACAAUCUCUUCCUGAAUGCACGCCACACCGCCAAAGCUGUUGGCAAGCUGCUUUCGUGUACAUCUGCUUCCACCUCUGGUGAUCACGUAGAAGAAGAUGCAACACAUCGUGUUCUCUGCUGUGCUCGACCUUGUGCUAGCCACAGAGCACGCGGCAGUUCCUCCUCAGCGCUAGACACCAGUCUGGUCGGUGAGGAGGUCAGCAGCCGCAUGAGCAAGUUCGGUAAAUUCUUCCCUUGCUCUUCCAUUCCAAAUGUUCAUGAUGAUGAUGAUCCAGGCAACUCAAUCCUUUCCGAUGUCCACGCACGCAAGACACCACAGAACAACCCCACUAAAGAAACCACAAUCUUGAGAUUUCAUAGGGUGGAUGUCUCUAAUAGAAUGAAGCAAAUUGUAGAGCAACUACGACCCAUGCGUCAAGAGGUUACGACCAUCCUGCGGGAUUGUAGGCUUAGAAUUGUUGCAGGCCCUGCCCAUAAUCGUCCCACCACAACCUCCGAAAGUCUAGAGCCAACAUUGCAUGGGAGAGACCAUAUGUUGAAUAGCAUCAUCCAUGACAUCACAAAGGGUAAAUAUUGUGGGCAGGAUCUGACUGUGCUUCCGCUGGUUGGCCCCGGAGGCAUAGGAAAGACAACUCUGACACAAUACAUACAUAAUGCACAAGAAGUGCAUAACCAUUUUCAUGUAGUGGUUUGGACAUGUGUAUCUGUUGAUUUCAACCCAAAUAAGUUGCUAGAAGAGAUUAAAGGAAAAAUCCCUGAAGUUGAAGGGGAAAAAGAGGGUGAAGUAGGGAAGGUGAUCGAACAAAGACUAAAAACUAAAAGGCUUUUACUUAUAUUAGAUGAUAUGUGGAAAUGUGGUGAUCGGGAGGAUUGGGAAAGGUGGCUGUUGCCAUUCAAAAAAUCACAAACAAAAGGUAGCAUGAUUCUAGUCACAACUCGGUUUCAAGCGCUAGCAGAAACAGUUAAAACAACCGGUGAUUAUAUAAAACUGGGAGGGUUAGAACCGCAAGAGUUUAGGAAGUUGUUCCUAUCAUAUAUCUUCGGUGAUGAGGAUUCUACAGAGGAUUACACUUACUUGCUCGAGACCGGAGAUAAGAUAAUAGAAAAACUAAAGGGGUCGCCUCUUGCGGCAAAAACUGUUGGUAGAUUACUGAGAGAUCAACUCGAUUUGCAUCAUUGGAAAAUGGUCCUUGAAAGUAAAGAAUGGGAGAAGCAAACUGGAAACCAUGACAUUAUGCCUGCCUUGAAACUUAGUUAUGACUAUCUCCCUUUCGAUAUCCAACAAUGUUUUUCCUAUUGUGCAUUAUUUCCUGAGGAUUACAAGUUCCGUAGCAAACAACUCAUUCACUUAUGGAUAGGACUCGAUAUUUUACAUUCUAGUGGCCAAACUAGAACAACAGAAGACAUAGGUCUGAGCAAUUUAAAUUAUUUGGUCACCCAUGGUUUUUUCCAACCAGUGGAGAGCCAUACUAUAUUAUCCAUGACCUACUACAUGAUUUAGCAUUGACGAUCAUGUCUCAUGAAUGUCUUAGCUUGAAUUUUCCAAAUGUAAGAUCGGUAGGAAUUCAUCCAUGCAUUCGUCACUUGUCCGUAACCAUUGAUAUUGUAGAUUAUAACAAGGCAAUGGCAAGUGAAAACAUGGAGACUGAACUGAGAAAACUAAAGACAAGAUUCAGCGUUGAAAAAUUGCAAACUUUGAUGGUGUUUGGAGAAAUGGAUGAAAGCAUUGCUAGUAUGUUUGGUGAUUUUCUUAGGGAAGCAAAUGCUCUUCGUGUUCUUUGCUUGUCCAAGAUGUGUAUUCCUGUUGAGUCUAUGUUACAUAAAUUUUCAACACUUGUCCACCUACGAUACCUAAGUCUAGGGACCAUGCUUAAGAUGUACUUACCAGAUACAAUCUCUAGAUUUUAUCAUUUAAAGAUUUUGGAUCUAGAAGGAUGGCGUGGAUACCAUGAUGUGCCUAGAGACAUGUGCAACCUUGCAAAAUUAUGUCAUGUUUCUACAGAACGUGAUGAGCUUCAUUCUUGUAUUUAUAAUGUGGGAAAAUUAAAACUCUUACAAGAGUUAAAGGCAUUUAAAGUCAACAAAGAAAAUGAAGGGUUUGAACAAAAGCAACUUGAGGAUUUGGUCGAGCUAAGGGAACUUGGCAUCUACAACCUUGAGAAAAUACAUACACAAGAAGAAGCAGCCAAAGCAAAACUAAUAAACAAAAACUACUUGCGUGUUCUAACAUUAUCUUGGGAUAGUGAGCAAACUAAUGCUAAGCCUGAGAAUGAAGGUUUGGUUCUUGAGAGUCUUCAACCACAUAGAAAUCUCCAAGAGUUAUACAUUAGAGGGAACAAAGGCCCUUCUUGUCCAACAUGGCUGGGUGAUAAAUUCGAUGUUGAAGCUCUAAAGUCUCUUCAUCUCUUUCGUGUUUCUUGGGAUGUCUUUCCUUCGUUUGGGAAGAUGUGGGAUCUCCGUGAACUAACACUCGAUCAUAUUUCCACAAUAAAGGAGUUUGGUCUAGAGGAAAGCCUCUGCAAAUUAUUAAACAAGAUUACACUCACCGGCUUAGGAAAUUUUGAAAAAUGGGUACCACAGCCGACUCAUUUCUUCCCUCAUUUGCAAGUACUGAUUAUCACAGGGUGCCCUAAACUCUCAGAGUUGCCAUUUUCAAGCCACAUUGUUUACCCACCGAAACAAGACUGGAACAUAGAUUUGUUUCCCAAGCUACAAGAGCUUAAGAUAGAAAAUUGCCCUGAAGUCUUGCUGCUGCCUCCUAUCCCUUGGACCCAAUCUUUGUGCUCUGUCGAGAUAAGUGAUGUGGGAUCGGAACUACUGGACAGGUUGAUCUACUCAAAAUCAUCUUCUGGAGUAGCAUUGUUAGUUUAUGCAAAGGAUGGCCUGUAUAACUUAGAUCAGGUGUUACUAUUCAGUCAACUAACCGAACUUCAGAAUUUGAUGAUCAAAAAUUGCCCACCUUUGGAGCUGAAGUAUUUUCUAAUGCUAACCUCAUUGAAGACAUUGUGGGCAUGGUCUUCAAAUCUUGGGGUGGUGGCAUCAGAAGUUCAGACUUGUGUAGAAUGGCAGCAUCCUAUCGAGUCCAUUGAAAUUCGGGCAUCUAGUUCUUGUGGAAAGGAAUUGACACAGUUCUUGUCUCACCUCCCAAAGCUAUCCAAACUGGAAGUACAUUCUUGUAUAAACGUAACACAGUUGGCUGUGGGGGUGGAUUUGCAGCAAACAACAGCACCGACAGUGUCAUCGUCAACCUCUUUAGAUGUUAUUACAAUGGAUGAUACACAAGCAAAAGAUGAGCAGCAAGAAAUAGCAGAGGUGGAGAAGGAGGAGGCAAACACGGUGGAUGAUGAUGGGCUGUUGCUCCUCCCUGCACAUCUCUCCAACUCUCUGCAGACGUUGUUCAUCAACAAUAGUAUUGGUGUGGUAGUUCAUUCCCUCGAAGCCCUCCAAGCCCUAACUAGACUUCAGUUAGAAUAUUGCUCUUUUCGCCACCCUUUCCCGUCCUCCCUGCUACACCUGAAACUUUCGUCCGUGAAGGGCGUGCUGACCCUUUCAAAUCUCACCUCUCUCACCCGAUUAGAAAUAUAUCGUUGCGGAGAGGAUUUUAGAUGCAAGGGCCUGUUGCCUCUCCUUACUCGGGGCCAGCUCAGCAGUUUAGAAGUCAUUGGAAGCCCCAGUUUCUUUGGUGGGUGGGAGUGGGAUCCCAAUGCCAUGCGGGGGAGGUCCUCCAAACUGCAGGAGGUCGAGACAGAUGACAUCCACGGCUUCCUCGGUGCGCCCGCCCUCUGUAGCCUCCUCUCUUCCUCCCUCACCGACUUGUCCUUUAUGGGGGACCAUGAGACGGCGCGCUUCAUAAACGAGCAGGAGGAGGCCUUUCAAUGCCUCACAUCGCUCCAGGUACUCCAGUUUUCGGGUUGUAAUAAGCUGGAACACCUCCCUGCAGCGCUAAACAAGCUGACCAACCUCAAGAGAUUAUGGAUCUCGUGUUGCCCAGCCCUCCGGUCACUGCCCAAGGACGGCCUCCCGAGUUCACUGCAAGAUUUAGAUGUCGAGGAUUGCGAGAACGAGGAGCUACCAGAGCACUGCAAGAGGUUAAUGGGAACCAUCCCAGAAAUCAGACUAUAGAGUAUAGACCAAUGGGUGGACACGGUCCUGGCCGGUCCGGUCCCGGUCCGAGCCGUCGUUUGGACCGGCCGCCGGCGCAGGUACGUGUCUCCCGCCACACCUCCAGCAGUACGCCCCCGCCAUGCCCCGCCAUGCUCGUGCCGUCCAGGCUGAGACCAAUCCAAGGUAACAGAUACUUCCUUGCCCGUGCCAAUUCCUUAUUUCCAUAAAUACUCCUUUUUUUCUGAUCACACACACAUGCCAGCUCGUUUUUCUUUUGGUGUGGUGUACCUCGUUACUGUGUAUCCUGAACAUCGUUUGUCUCCGUCGGCUGUGCAGCUGGUCUCUCCGUCUUGGAGUUGUACAUUCUUCUAGCCUUGUGGAAUUAUAUAUCCGCAUCUAUGGACAGUUGGCGUAUGUGAGAUCCUGUGGUAAUUUUUUAUGUCAAUACAUCUGGUAAGUAGAUGCAAAUUGUCUGAAAAGUAUCUAUAGUUAUCUGUCUGAUAAAAAUUGCCCCCAGUUAUCUUGAGCGCAUGAUUUUUAUUAAUAUACGAGUAUGUGAUUAGCAAUUGGAGGGCUUGUCUAUUCAACUGGAAAAUUAUUACCAUUAUGCUUAUGUAAAUUCGUCAGUACACCAAAUACGAGAGUCUGUUCCUAGCAGAAUAAAUAGUUAAAUACACAAAAGUGAGAUUUUUUUUCUUUUGUUUGUGCAAAAUUAACCUUGUUAACCUUAUCUAAGGAUAGUGUAUCUAUUUGUAUCUCUCCAGAGAUCAUGAGAAAUUUUAAUCAUUCACAAAACCUACCUUGUUUCUGUUUGGCAUAGCACAUGACUAGUUCUUUUUCCCCUCAGAUUCACCAUUGUUUUUUUGCUGCAGGUAUCCUUCAAUCCUUGUGUUUGUCAAGGAAACAAGUGAAGGGAGAAGAGGAAGUCCCAUUUCUUCAUCAAGUCGACGGACAGUCACGCAAGGUUGAACAUGAAAUUUGUACAAUCUCUUCAGUCUUAAUUCAGAGGAGCACUGGAUCUGCAUGGGUUUUCCAGAGAGCAGCAGUUUCAGAGCAGUGCAAUUUUGAAAAAGGGCCAUUUGAAUGGUGAAAACAAUGUUACCAUGGAACAUUGAUAGGUUGUACAGCAGCAAUGCUCUCAGUGUUUGUUUCGGCAUUGAUUUGCGAGAACUAAGCACCAUGUUGCAUCAUUGAGGAGCUAGGACAACAGUUCAUCAGGACUAUCCUGAAAAUCAUACUAGAGCACUAGACCUAUCCAAGGUAAAAAAAAAACUUCCCUGUCUGCUCAUCCAAAUACCCAACAUUACCUUGCUUUUUCAUGCUCUCGCAUAUGAAGUCAUAUUUUGGAUCUGCUUACCUCAUUACUGCAAAAUCUUAACACUGUUUUUCUAUCUACUUUACAGGUUCUCUUGCGACUUUUGGGGAGUUGUACAUUUUUUAGCCUUGUCGAGUCCUCCCUGUUUAUGCAAAGUUCACACAUGGGGAUCUUUUGUGGCAUCUUCUUACUGCACAUCAUACAUAAAUCUGGUAAGUACAUGCUCAACUCCUUCAACGAUAUUACGGAUACCUAGAUGUUUUUUUUUGAACCGAGAAAUAUAAAAAAAAAAAUCAACUUGAUCCUCAGCUGAUGCCAUUCAGAAUUUCCUUCUCUUCCUUCAUGAACGAUUUUAUAAUGAAUUCAAAAUUUUAUUUGUUGUGCAGAUAUUCUUAUGCUUGUUCUGGUUGGUUUCGAGAUAUUGGUCAUCAUUCACCAAAACUUGCUGGUGUACUUGUUAAGCUGUGAGGAUCAUAAUGUGGGAAUAACUGAUAUUUUGCUGAUUUGCUAUUGAAACUAAGGUGUGCAGUUUCUUCAGUUCGAUGCUAUAUUGAUAGGAUAGGAGGUGUACCUGCAUUUUUCAUAAGCUUUGGUGCUAAAUGAAAUUUUGUUAAUUACAGGAACUUUUUACAAGAAUACCUUUCUUACCAUGUCAGUGCUUGCGUCGAGCAGAUUGAGAUCUCGGGCUUUCACUAAAUGGUAUGCCUUGUCUAUUCACACUCUUACAGAAGUAUAAAAGGACUCGUGUAUUUGUCUUACGUUCCGAACUUUUUAGGCUGAACUAAGCUUCUUGGUUGCUGAAUAGACGUGGUCCGUGGACAACUUUGGAAUUGAACAAUGCAGCAGUAGCAGAUUUGUGGAAAGGUCAGUAAACCCCUGCUGAAAUUCGUGAUGGGUUUAGCUAUGUAGAUUGAAUUCAGUGUGCAAUUUUCGAACUCUUAUUGCCACAUGAGACCUAUGUUAGAGAACUUCCUGCUUUCUUGAUAAGUUGGCAGUCUAGCUUUUGAGCACACUCAUAAUCUCUGAAUGCAUUGUCAUGCUGAAUUAAGUUACACAAGAGAGUUUUCAGCUGAUACAUAUAGUGGUAAAGGUAGAGAACACUUGUUACUAGAUGAUUGAUGAACAUUGAUUGAGCAAAAAAAGACUUGAGCUUGCUAAUUUUUAUUCCUAGAACCUCCUGAAUUUAGUAUGGUGAAGGUGAUUUUAUUCUCUUCUUCAUCCCGAGUAUUUUGUUCUGUCCCACCAUUGCCAAAAACAGCAUAUUUCGUAAGUCUUUGAUUAUUGCAAUCUGAAUUUCUAGUGCGUAUUGUUAAGUUUGAUGUUCCUCUAGUCUGAAGUCUUUGAAAUCCAGUCAUUCCAUUUGCGUAACUUUUGUUGUCUAGCCUCUUCAACACUCGUCAUUGCAUUCCUUCAUCAGGAAACUCUGCUGGUGUACAUAUACAGAUCCCAGAAAAUAAACCAUUUCUUCCAUGUGUUCACACCAUACCUACCUAACCACCUACCUAUAAUCACAUCUCUCACUAUCCCACAGUAGUUGGUUAUUCCAUAAGCACAAAUGCACAAUCAUCAAGUUAAAAGAAGACUCAAAAGCGCUUUGUUGUCAUUGACCCUGCAAAUUUCAUCAUUAUGAAGAGCUAUAUUCGUUAAUAUUUAUGCCUCUCUCACAAAAGUCAAAAAAGUAAUAAAGAAAAAGAGUGAGGGAGGUCAUUCAAAAGAUUAAAGGUUCAUCCACAAGCAGGAAGAAAUAGUCAGCAGUCCUUCCAUAUUCAUGUACAGAAUGCAAAAUGGCUAAUCAAACUACUAUAUACCUAUGCAAUAUUGACAGCUGGAGUAUGAGUCGCAUCCUGAGACCACCUUGCAUUGCAUAGGCAUCUCAAUCAUUUCUUUGGCGUGAGUCCAUCCCUCCCACAUCCCCUGGACACUACCUUUCCCCAAUGACUGGAAUGUGAAG
rnacentral:lncRNA from 1 species